rnacentral:tRNA from 1 species
AAACAAUGCAUUUGAAGCUAACUAGGUAGAAGCGCUGGGUUGAAAUUCCAGAGGACUUGGAUCGUUACCAAGCAGAUGCACCAAAUAAAGCAGUUAUAGAUUAAUUGGUUAAAUCGCCAGACUUUCAAUCUGGUGUUCCGGGUUCGAUCCCCGGUAACUGCUCCAAUCAAGUCCAAGCCGGAACAUUCCUCCGUAUGUGCUUUCAGCCGGCUUGGCAUUAUUCGUGUGGAGAUUGUGUAGCCCGGAUGCUGCCUUUCGGUUGUGACCCGAUUGUUGGGGUUCGAGUCCCCGCCUCCAACCAAUGUCGUGCAAUGGUAUAUCGCGUUGACGCUUUUAGGCUCUCUGGAUCGUAAGCCAGUAAAGCGAGAAUAGCGGGCUCUCGCAGCAGAGCGAUAGGUGGUUCGAUUCCACAACAUGACACUCUUUCCUCCUCGCCUGUGCUGAACGGUUUCCUCCUCCUUUCCCGUCUCACAGGCUCUAUUCCCUGCCCUUUAAGCAUUUAUGGUGAUGCACCGGCUUUGUAACCCGGCGAAUUCUGUUCAAGUCAGGAAUGGGGCACCAAUUCACUAUCAAAGAACCCGCAAGCUCCCGAUAGGGUUCACACUCUAUAAGGUUGUAGCAUGGAAAACACGCAGGUUCCUGAUAAAAAACUCGGACCAAUCGCGCUAGCGCUUAAAGAGGCCAGAGAGAAUUUCGAUCUCAGCCCUCAUGUUAUUGGUCCAAAAUCUUUCAAACAGAAAGAGUUCACAGACAGCGAUGCAAAGAUCACUGUAUUCGGUGGUGCUGCUGGUGCUGGUAAGUCUUAUCUCGGUGUAAUGGACUUCAUGAAAUAUAUCCAUGAUCCUAACUUCCGAGGUGUAAUGACUCGUCGUACUACUCCUCAGAUUAAAGGCCCGGGUGGUCUGCUUGAAAAAGCAACAGACCUAUUCAAGCUCGUUGACCCUAAAGUCAAGUGGAAAGACAAAGACGGUAAGUUUGUGUUCUCUUCUGGUGCAGUUAUUUUCCUUCGACACUUCGAACAAGAAUCUGACAAAGACUCCUUCCAAGGUUGGGAGGUUAGUAAGUUCCUAGUCGACGAAGGUCAGCAGUUCACAGAAGGCAUGGUGACAUACCUUAUCUCUCGUAUGCGUAACCCGAAAUGCUCGGUUGUUCCGCACAUGAAGAUUACAUGUAACCCUGAUUAUAAUUCGUUCCUUCGUAAAUGGAUUGAAUGGUGGCUAGACCCUGACACAGGAAUCCCGAUCCCUGAGCGCUCCGGCGUAACUCGCUGGUUUGUACGCAAAGGCGGUAAGAUGUUCUGGGGAGACACCAAGGAAGAGUGCAUUGCCCUUCAUGGUAAUCCCAGUCUAGCGCCUGACGAUGAAGAUCAGGUGAAGCCUAUCAGCUUCAAAUUCAUCGCGGCUAACUGUUUCGAUAACCCAAUCUUGAUGCUCAACGACCCUGAGUAUGUAGCUAACCUUGAAGCCCUUCCUAGGGUAGAACGUGAAAAGCUCCUAGACGGUAGCUGGCACGCUAGAGAAGAGGGAGCUGGAUACUUCACAAGGGAUUGGUGUCAAAUCGUUCCCCAUCCGCCUCUACGGGUGCUUAAAAGGGUACGUGCAUGGGACAUCAGCGGUAGCAUCGAAUCCGAAACCAACAGAAACCCCGACUGGACAGCCGGCGUGCUGAUGAGCCGUACAAAAGAAGGCUUGUUCACUGUCGAGGAUGUUGUCAGAGAGCGUAGGUUGUUCGGAGGUGUUUUCGACCUCAUUCUAGAAACAGCCAAGCAAGACGGUCAAGACGUUGAAAUUCAAAUCCCAUGUGACCCGGGUGCUGCUGGUAAAGCUUAUGCUGCCCAGCUAAUUAGAGACCUAGCGGAUCAUGGAUUCCACGCCAGACCGAAGACAACUAACAAAUCGAAAGUUACUCGAUUCGCCCCGUUCGUAUCCGUAGCUGAAACUAAAUCAGUGCAAGUCGUUGCGGGAGAUUGGAACGAAGAUUACUUCGAUGAACUUGAGCGAUUCGACGGAAGCAAGGCUAUCAAAGAUGACCAAGUUGACGCUACAUCAGAUGCAUUUAAUGCUCUAUCUCUUGGCAGCUUGAUUAUCCCUGAUUUCCUACCGCCUGAUAUGACUCAAUCCAACAAAUUCAAACUAAAUUAAUAGGAGGCGGCGAUGGCCGAGACUGAAAAAACAGCACCGGGUAUCCCGCGACUUCGCCUAGGCGAGAUUGGUAGUACAGGCCUUAAACAAGUCAAUGGUACUAUUCUGGAAGAACGCCGACCAGAACUUCGGUUCCCUAGGGCAUGCAGAACAUUCCAAAUGAUGGCGGAAGACCCUACCAUCAAAUCAGCACUCGAUCUCUUCGAAAUGAUGAUGAGCAGGGUUGACUGGGAAGUUGAUCUAGGAGUUGACCCCGACGAGGCUAUGAAGGCCCGUGGUAAAUUCCUGAAAGAGUGCAUGCAUGACAUGGAACACAGUUGGUACUCCUUCAUCAAAGAGGUCACUAGCUUCUACACCUACGGAUUCUCCGUACAUGAAAUGGUGUUUAAGCGACGUGAAGGAUACCCUGUAUCGAAGUACAAUGACAACAAAUUCGGUAUUAAAAAGUUGCCAAUCCGCUCUCAGUCUACUAUCACCAAAUGGUUGUACUCUGAAGACGGUAGAAACUUCCUAGGGUGUGAGCAAAGUCUUGCCAAUGUUGUCAAUGGCGACCGUUACGUCAACCUAGGUAAUAAGGACGGAACUGUAGAGAUUCCAGCUAAGAAGAUGCUUCUUUUCCGGGUCGAUGCUAAACGUGACAGUCCUGAAGGUAACAGCCCUCUCCGUGCGUGCUAUAACGCUUGGAGAUAUCGAGUAGAGAUUGAAGAGCAAGAGUCCGUUGGCGUAACACGCGAUAUGAACGGUAUGCCUACGCUCUAUCUGCCUCCUCGAUAUAUGUCCGAAGAUGCUACAGAAGCUGAGAGUGCAGUCUACGAAUACUACAAGCGAGUAAUUCGUAACAUUCAAAUGAAUGAACAAUCUGGACUUAUCCUUCCUCAAGCGUUUGACCCAGAAAGCCGACAACCUCUGUUCAAAUUCGAACUGACCUCUUCGCAGGGCAGUAAGAUGUAUGAUACAGAUGCCAUCAUUCGUCGCUGGGACAACAAAAUUCUGCAAGCCUUGUUUGCCGAUAUGCUGAAGAUGGGUCAGGACCAAGUUGGCUCUUACUCUCUAGCUGGUGCCAAGACUAACAUCAUGGCUAUGGCGAUUGAAUCGCGGCUCCGCGAAAUCAAAGACGUACUAGAUAAUAAACUCAUUCCUACGCUGUUCGCACUGAACGGUGAUUAUAGUCCAGACUUGCCGAAGCUGCAAUACGGUGAGCUAGAUGAAAUCGAUCUUGAAGAGUUCUCGAAAGGGAUUCAGAGAAUCGGUUCUGUCGGUGGUCUUGAACGUGACCGUGAGGUUUACAACAAGAUUCGCAAAGCUCUCAAGAUUAAGCCUCGACCAGAUGACGAACCUGUUGAUGUGGAUAACAUCAUGGGAGGUCAGUCUCAAGCAGGUAAAGCAGGACUAGGUAAUGGUGCAUCAACAUCCGCAGCCGGCAGAGACAAUGCUGCUGCAAAUAACGCAUAAGGAGACAGAAUGCUGACUCUUGAAAGUGUUAUUGAAGCUCUCAGCAAUGCUUUCGGGGCUCCCGCUAAGGCGGAGAAAGUCCCGGCUGUAGAGGUUACAAAGUCCCUAGAUAAUGAGAAGAGGAUGGCUUUGUUUGUCGUUCUUGAGCCCCAAGAGGGAGACUCCACGACUGACCUCCACGCAGACACAUAUUCCGAAGAGGAAGUAGAGAAAGCUUGCAUCAACUUCAAUACUCAUUGCAACGUAGCUAACAUCUUCCACAAGAUUGAAACACAGGAAGCUGAGAUUGUCCAGUCCUUCAUCGCUCCAUCCGCAUUCACAACUGACGACGGAAGAGAGAUCAAGAAAGGUACAUGGCUCCAGUGGUGGCACUUCCCAGAAGGCUCUGAAGUAGCCGAUACACUAUGGGAAGGUGUUAAAUCUGGUGAAUUCACAGGCGUCUCUAUCGGUGCCAGAGCUACAGUCGAGGAUAUCGAAUGACCGUAAAAGCAAAACGCAAACUGACCGAUAUCAAGUUUGAACACGAAGGUGCUCAUGUCGCUCUGGUCAGUAAGCUCCAAGGUGGUGCAGCCAACGGGCACACUACUCUAAUCACAAAAGCUACCAAUGGCGUAACUGAAGAGCUUAUCGAUAAAGCUGCUGAAGUUACAGUCACAAUGCAAUUCCCUGAAUUCCUUCGUAAGUUCUUCGGGAUGUAUUAUGACGAUGCCGAAGUUCUCUCUGUUGCCAUGGGAUAUGGUAGAACGGAGUAUCCAGAACUAGAUCACAAAGACUGGAUCGACCAGAGAGUCGAAUCUAUGUCUAUUCUCAAGUCGGUUUACAAAUCGGCUGACCUGAAUAAAGCUCUCUCCGAGCUUACCCCUGAGCAGGCCCUUUCCCUUAAACAGGAUCAGGAGCUGCUUGAAAAGGCUCUGGAGGUAGUCUCCGAGCAAUCCAAUGAAAAUCCAUCCAAGGAGAUUACCAACAUGGAAACUAUCCUGAAAUCGGCCCACCUAGAAGCUCUAGCUGAUGCUGUUGCAGUUGAAAAAGCUGCUGGUGUCGCUGCUGUUGCAGAAGUUCAGAAGCAACUAGACGCCGCUAAUGUAGAGCUUACAGCUCUUCGUGAAAUUGUCAAGGCUGCUGAGGCAGAGAAAACCGCUGCUAUCGCUAAAGCCCGUAAAGAGCAACUGGCUGAAGUCCUCCCGGCUGACCAAGUAGAAGAUACUUUCAAGUCUCUGGAAGUUCUGGAUGAUCAAGCUUUUGCACAAACAGUAGGAACGCUCCGCAUUCUUAAAGCUGCUGCUGACCAAAAUGACAUGCUUGUCGAGAAAGGUGUAUCGGGCGCUGGGGAAGAAGACGACUCUGUUGUCGCCGGUGUUGCCGCUAUCCUGAAAGCUCGCCACGGCUCCAAGUAAUAUCUAGCCAAUCUAGAGGAAUUCCAAAUGGCUCAAAACAUUAUCGCAAAAGAUCAUCAGCGUCUUAGCAACUGGCUGAAAGAAGAACAAAUGGGCCACCGUGGCCUGUUCUACACUCGCGAAACUCUGCCUGUCGCUGACAUUGAUGUUAAAACAACUGGUUCUGUCCUAGACAGCACUGGCAAGCUGGUAACUAAGGCUACUAUCGCCGACGCUACCUACAUCCUAAUUACCGACCUGCACGACUAUGCCAACGCUCAGAUGAGCCACGCUGUCGUCCUUGCUCGCGGUUUUGCCAAGAUCGGCUCCAAGGCUGUUAUCUUCGGUGCUGACGUUGACGACGCUGAUAAAGCUACCGUCUUUGAAGCUUUCAAAGCCAAGAACAUCUUCGCCGUUGACCAGAUCGAAGGCGCAUUCGAGAACGUUACCUUCGCGUAAGCGAGGGUCGUUCCAGUAAAUAAAUACUAGGAGUAACUUUAAAAUGGCUAACACCCGUUCCUACCUAAACGAUGGUCAGUUCUACAUUGCCGACCAGACUGAAAACCUGCUUAUCAUCCCGAACACUUGGACCCUCGUCGAGAACAUGGGCGUCUUCACAAGUGAAGGUGUGACUCAGAACACUGUCCAGUUCGAAGAGAUCGAAACUCGCUACGGUCUGGUUAAGGAUGCCAUCCGUGGAACUCGUCACCAAGUUGCUAGCGACCAACGUCGUCAACUGCGUGCCUUCGCGAUUCCGCACUUCAACCAAGACGACUACAUCACUCCAGAAGAUAUUCAAGGUAAGCGCGCUUUCGGUGCUGACCGCGAAGAAACUCUGAACGAGGUUCGUGCUCGUAAGCUGGAAACCAUCCGUCGCAACUGGGCUAACACCGCUGAAGUUGCUUCCGUUAGCGCUAUCGUAACUGGUAAGAGCUACGCCCCAGCCGGAACCAUCGAGUACGACUGGUACGACCUGAUGGGUAAAACUCGUAAGGUUGUCGGCUUCGACCUGACCAACCCUACCGCUGACGUUAUGGGCAAGACCGAAGAAAUCUUCGUCCAUAUGCAAGACAACAGCCAAGACGGUCUGAUCCGUGGUGACUUCGUUGCCCUGUGCUCUCCUGAGUUCUUCACUGCCCUGAUUAACCAUCCGAGCAUCAAAGAGUUCUACAAAGCUUACCAAGCUAGUCCUCAAUACUGGCGUGAACGUCUAACCGCUCGCGGUCUGGACCUUCGCUUCCGUGAGUUCUACUUCGGAAACAUUCACUUCAUCGAAUACCGUGGCGUUGACCCGUACGGCAACCGUCUGAUCCCGGCUGGCGAUGCUUACUUCAUCCCAACCGACAGCGGUGACCUGUUCGCUCGUUACUUCGGCCCGGGCAGCACUUUCGAUGACCUAGGAACUCUGGGUAAAGAACUGUACGCCACCGAGCGUAUGGCUGAAGACCGUCGUUCGAUCCUGAUCGAAACCGAGUCCAACUUCAUCCACGUUCUGCGUCGUCCACAGAUGAUCGUUCGCGGCACUGUGAAUGCGUAAAGACUUCAGGGAGGCUUCGGCCUCCCUUUCGUCGUAGGAGGGUACCAAAAUGGCUUACACUGGUGAUCCAGCAAACAACCCUAUCGACCGUCUACGAGAGAUUGUAGGGGACGUGUGGGAGCCUCCGAUGCUUUCCGACGAAACCUAUCAAUGGGUGUUGGACAAGAACGAAGGCAACGAAAGACGAUCCGCACUUGAACUUAUGCGUAUGAUGCUCUUCCGCCUGACAAGGGGAAUGAGAGAACGCACAGGUGAUAUCGAAGUAUAUGGUGCUGAGUAUUUCAACAACUACUUGAAAGCUCUUCAGCUCAUUCUCAAAGACCCGAAUAUUGCAAUUUCUUUGGCCGUGCCAUAUGCUGGCGGUAUCUCCAAAUCGGAUAUGCUGGCUAAUGACCUAGACCCCGACAACGUAACACGGGAAUUCUACAUCGGUUUUGCAAGACGGGAGAAGCUUUACAACCAGUGCAACCCCGGUCCUCAAGACCUUAGCAUGGGGUGUGAUUAUCUUGGCAAGCUUCAGUUUUAAAACAGAUCGCCGUCGCCUCACAUCCUUGAUUAAGAGGGUGGAGGCUCUAGACGGAACAACGGUAGAAGUUGGUUUCUUCCCCGAGGACCGAUAUGGUUCUGAAAAUGGAAACCUACCAGUUGCACAAGUUGCAGCUUACAACGAAUUCGGUACUACUCGCAACCCAACCCGGCCAUUCAUGGCUCCAACCUUUGAAGAAUUCACAUCUCAAUUCCACUACGCAAGACUAAUGAAGUCCACGUUCGAGAACGUCCUACGCGAUGGAAGGCAGACGAAUACUCUUCUGAAGAAAUUGGGUAAAAUGGUUGCAGAGCAGAUGCAAGUUAACAUUGACGACUAUCCGGGCUCUAACAGUCCAGCAUGGGCAGCUUACAAAGGAUUUAACGAUCCUCUAUUCCAUACUGGAAAAAUGCUUGAGUCUGUCAAGUUCCAAAUCCAUCGGAGGCAAUAAUGCUCUAUCCUACCUUCUCCAUGACCAACUUCGUCAAGCUAGAUUUGAUUAGAAGAGGGCAGCCCGGAGACGACGGUUUUGGAAGACCUACCCCUCCAGUUGAGACAGUAGUAACAAUCACAGCUAACGUUCAACCUAUCGAAAAAUCGACAGACACUCGUAUCCUUCCAGAGGCCGACAGAAGCAAGGCUUGCUUCAAGGUGUACUCCAGAGGCGAAGAGAUUCGCCAGUUAAAGGAAGGCCCUAAUGGGUGGAGUGCAGAUAGGUUUAUUUGGGAAGGUGAGUUGUACGAGGUGAUGAAAGUCAUCAACUACUCGAUGGGCAUCCUAAACCAUUACAAAGCAAUUUGUAUGAGAGUAGAGAGGAAUAGCACAGCAUGAUCCACACAGAGCUAGAAAACUCCCUCUAUCUUAUGAUCAAAGAGUUGUUCCCGGAUUGGCGUGUAAUUCAAGCUUACACGAAUAAUCAGGAACCACAAACCCCUUAUCUGGCUAUCGACAUUAAGAGGCUGGAUGAACUGGGAAGGGAAAAUGUCUCCAAUAUGAGCGAUCCCAUUAGUCCUUCGCAUGGAACUAUUCAAGUUCAACAGGACUUCGCAGCCAGAGUCGUAUUCGAACUAAUUGGCAAGUAUGGAGAGACAGCAAGUGUCUCUGACAUGGCAAUGGCGAUUACUCGGGCAAUGCGUACUCCAGCAGGACACGCUGCCCAAAGAAAGUUCAAUCUAUCCCUUUUCAAACUCCCUAGCACAAGACGAGUUCCUAUGCUACGAGAGACAGAUAUGUACAUGUACUACCAAGUGACAUGUGAAUUUGGAUUCUCUGUAGUUGAGACUAUAACUCACGAGUUUGCUGCUGGGGCUGAUAUUCACGGUGUCUACUAUGAUGCCGGUCGCCCGGGUCACAUUAUUGAGUCCCAUAUCGACAUAAAUUUCGAACACUAAUAGGAGACAGGAAUGACUGUUCUUACUGAUGUAAUUGACAUUCAGAUCAGCCGUGAGACUGCUGCUGUCGCACAGACAAACUUCAACGUUCCUCUGUUCAUCGCCUCUCACACAAACUUCUCUGAAAGAGCCAAAGUUUAUAACAGCCUGAAGGGUGUUGCUGAAGACUUCGGGGAAGCUGAUCCUACAUACCUCGCUGCUGUACGCUACUUCGGGCAAGCCCUGAAACCGCGUAGCCUAGUUAUCGGACGCAGACAAGUUCCUUCUGCCACCGUUUCUGUCAGCGUCGUUCAAGAAGGACAGAGCUAUGUUCUGACCAUUAACGGACUACCUGUCAGCUACGUUAGCCAGCAAGCUGACACUGCCACCUUGAUUGCAACUGGCCUAAAAGCUGCAUAUGAUGUUACCCCUGUUGUUGGCGUUACCGUAACUGACAACGAAGACGGAACUCUGACUGUCGCUUCGAACGAAGACUGGAGCCUGAAAGUUUCUUCUAACCUGACAAUGGCCGCUGCUCCUUCUACUGAAGGCUGGCCGGCAACUAUCACUGCUGUUCAGGGAGAAAACGACGAAUGGUAUGCACUGAGCAUUGACAGCCACGCUGACGAUGAUAUCAUGGCAGUAGCUACUCAUAUCGAAGGGACCAAGAAAGUGUUUGUCGGGGCUACUGCUCAGGCUAAUACCAAAACUUCCGCAGACAACGACAUUGCUUCGCGUCUAGUCGCUGGUGGGUUCCAACGUACGGCACUGAUGUACCAUCCAAACGCUGACGCUCAAUUCCCUGAGUGUGCUUGGGUAGGAUACCAACUGCAAGAGCAACCGGGUAGCAACACAUGGACCCAUAAAGCUCUAGCUGCCGUAGAUGCUUACCGUCUAACCCCAACCGAGUCUACCAACCUGAAGAACAAGAACGUUACCACGUUCGAGCGUGUUGGUGGUGUCAACCGUACAUUCGGUGGGGCUAUGGCCGGUGGUGAAUGGAUUGACGUAAUGAUCUUCGUAGAUUGGCUGGAAGCCCGCAUGACCGAGCGUCUGUGGUUCCGUAUGGCUAACUCCAAGAAAAUCCCUUACGACGCCGUUGGUGCAACAAUUCUGGAAUCGGAAAUCAGAGCCCAGCUUAACGAAGGAAUUCGUGUUGGUGGUCUGGCUGAAGCUCCGGCUCCUAAAGUCUUCGUACCUGAUGUUCUAUCCAUGUCUCCGAACAUGAGAGCACAGCGUAUCUUUGAAGGCAUUGAAUUUGAAGCCCGUCUGGCCGGUGCCAUUCACUUCGUACACAUUCGUGGAACUGUGACCGUCUAAGGACGGUCCUUCCCAUAAGGAGACUACUAAAUGGCUGUUCAACGUCUAGCUACAUUCUCUCCAGCCGAUGUUACCAUUGUUAUCACUCACCCUGCAACUGGUGAGAGCAUGGUUCUCGGUGGAUUCAGCGAAGACAGCAUCGUUAACAUUGAAAGAAACGCUGAUACUUACGUGAUGUAUACUGGAGCCGACAACACAUCGACUCGCGUCUACAACGCCUCUAAGUCUGCUACCCUCACUGUUAGCCUUCAGCAAACUUCGCCUUCGAACGACUUCCUGACUGCUCUUUACAACUACGACGACGCCCGUCGUUCGUCUGAGGGAUUGUUCACAAUCCAUGUUAAAGACAACUCUGGUCGUUCCGACUACUUCAGUGAUGACGCCUAUGUCGGUGUUGUUCCGGGUUCUAACUUCUCGAACAGCAUGCAGACACGCGAUUGGGUUAUUCAUGCACACAACCUGCAAACUCUAAUCGGCGGUAACGCCAAGCUGAGCCCGGGUGAUGCGGAUACUCUUCGUAACCUAGGUGUCACACUAGACCAGCGCUGGCUGUAAUAUAGCGCUUAUGCCACAUCGACGGGGAGCUGCCUUAACGGGUGGCUCCCUUUGUUGUUUCUGGAGGAUAGAAAUUGAUUACCACCUACUCGCCGCGUGACGUGGUUGUAACUCUCGCUGGUAUCCAUUCCGUGACAGGGUACGCAGAGGGAGAGUUUAUCAGAAUUGUAAAAGAUAUUAAGCCUUUCAUCAAGCACGGUUCGAUGGAUGGUGAAAUCGCAAGGGUCUACAACAAAGACCAAGGCUGGCGAGUAGAGUUGACAAUCAUGCAAUCCUCGCCGACCAAUGAUAUCCUUUCGAUGCUUUACAACGUGGACAUUGCAACCCGAAUGGGAAAAUUCCCACUGAUGAUUAAGGACACGAAGGGUUCUACAAGCUUCCUAGCUCUGACAGCAUGGGUGGAAGACCUACCUAGGGUAUCUUUCUCUGGACAACUGGAGACCCGCACUUGGAUUCUAGGGUGCUCUGAGGUCGCCAUGAACAUUGGCGGAAACGUCGAUCAAAGUUUGGUCGAGCAAGCUAUCCUGCUGGGAAGCUCUCUUCUGCCAGCCCUUACGCAAUUCGGAGGCUUCUAAUGGCUAACACGGUAUUGACAUAUAGCCCAUCUGAUGUUAAAAUUGUCCUUUGUGGGUAUGCUCUCACUGGUGUAGUUUCUUUCGAAAUGUCUUGGCUUUCGAGACCCUACACAAUGGUUCGAGGAAUCAGAGGGCACCACACCCGGGUCUUCAAUAGAGACCUUUCUGCGCAGAUUAGAAUCGAGGUUCUUCAGACUUCGGUGUCUAAUGAUGCAUUCUUCUCGCUAGUAGAGCAAGACCGAAGAACACAAUCCGCCCGAAUCACCUUGUCUGUCAAGGAUACCCACGGUAGCACCAUGAUGAGCACAGACAACGCUUAUGUCAAUGGCUACCCUAGCAUAACAUUCACCGAUGGAAUCGAGAACAGGGUCUGGACUAUUGAUGUUCUGGACUGGACCGAUGGCACGGUAGGCGGAAACCAGCAAGUCGGCUUCGACGUGUUCGGAACUGUUCAAGGCGCUCUUAGCUACCUCAGAUAAAUAAGGAGUAUUUAUGUUCGGAAACCAACGUACUGUCAUCCACAAUGGGACAGAAUACACUAUCAACCUUCUGCCAGCAACUCGCGGUAUCAGCGUACUGAAGCAGCUAACCAGCUUGCUGGGUCCAUCCCUUGCCAAGUAUCAAGCUGACCACGACUUCUCUGGAGCCAUGAAAGAACUGUUCGAUAACAUCGACAAGGUUCCUGUUGAGAAUUUGAUCCAGAAUCUGAUGCUGACAGUUUUCAAAGGUUCGAUGGCAAUCAAUUUCGACACCGAAUUCGCUGGCAAGUAUGACCUGCUGUACGCACUCACAAAAGACGUGAUCGAGUUCAACUUCGGCUCGGUUUUUUCUCUAAUCGGUUUCGCAGAGGCACCGACGGUAUAAAGACCGGGGAUGGGCAGUCCGAGACUUCAGUCACUACUGAUCGAGUUCAGAGUGAUCGGAGGGUUAGGGAGGCCCACCAGAAGUUCUCGCAGCAUUGGGAGAUUUAUGUGGCUAUCACUCACCCUCUCAAGCUAACGACGUAUGGGGAACUGAGUACAGUCCUCACUACAGAAGAUUUGUACAACAUCCUUGAGGUUAUAGACGUUCACGAUACUAUCACUCAAGUGGCAAAAGAACACGCAGAGGCUGAUAAGAAAUGAUUACAGAAAGGAUUGCCCAGCUAACUGGGGAACUUAAAUUUACAGUCGAUUCCCGGCCUCUCACUGCUUUUGACAAGAAGCUCGCUGGGGUCGAAGCCCGGCUAAGAGAAUUCUCCAAGCUGACGAACAAGCGGUUUGGAGUUAAGCUAACUCUAGAUACAAAAACUCUGAGAGAGGAGCUUGCCAAGGCAGCCACUCAAAGGGUAGUCUUGAAGAACAUCGCGGUAGAUGCUGCCGCUGUUCGUCUUAUCUCUGAGAAGCUUCAAGAAAGACUGAAUGCAACGCCGAUCAGGUUGAAGUCUGUUAGGCUAGACCUUAGCGGUAUCCGAGAUCAGAAAAACUUCGUAAAGACGGCUCUCGGCCAGACCAAGGUCGAUCUACCGGUUGAACUGGGCUUGGCUCAGGCUAGCCGUACGCUGUAUGAAUGGAAGAAGCGCACAGAGAGUCGUUUUAAAAUUCAUCUGAAUGCAGACAUUAGCCGCUCUAAAUUGCUCCAGAAUGCACGAAACACACUAAGGGAUGUGCAGGGUAGGCUAAACGGUCUUGCUGUCGCUACGCCUCAAAUUAGGCUGUCUGUAGACCGUGCCCAUCUUCGUAGAGAGAUUCAAGAUGUUCUUGAGCAAAUCAGACGCGAAGUGAGAAUCCGCAUUGACCUAGAGUCUUCCAUCCGAGGAGGUGGUGCAGGUGGAUCGAGAGGUACUGCCGGCCAUAUCCGUCAAGGUAUGGGAAUGGGGAUUGGUAGCGAGCUAGCCGGGUGGGGACGCGGGUUUAUUCCCGGCCUUGGUGGUGCGUUCGCUAUUAUGCAGCUUAACCGUGCUAACCAAGAACUGCAAGGUCAACGUCUGGCCAUGCAAGCUGUCGGUGGUGGAGUACAGGGUGGUCAAGAGCUACAAGCCACCCUCCGCGAUAUCUCUCAGCGUCUCGGUCUUGACGAUAGAGCAAUAGGUAGCUCCUAUGUUAAGAUGAUGGCUGCCGGACAAGCAUCCAACUUCGACAAAACACAGGUUGAUGGCAUCUUCCAAUCCAUGGCUGAAUAUGGACGAGUGAUGGGUCUGGACGGGGAGGCUAUGAAAGGCUCCUUCCGUGCCGUAGAGCAGAUGAUGGGUAAAGGACAGAUCAUGUCCGAAGAAUUGAAAGGUCAGUUGGCCGAAAGAUUCCCCGCUGCUGUAGCUCUGAUGGCUAAGUCUCAAGACAUGACUAUCGCAGAGCUAAUGAAAACCAUGGAGAAAGGGGAGCUUAAGAGUGAUGCUCUGAUCCCAUUCGCCAGAACUCUAGCGGAAGAAGCUCGUAAAGGUGGCGCUCUGGACGCGGCUAUGCAAGGUACAGCCGCUCAGCAGGGCCGAUUCCAGUUCGGAUGGAACCGCACUAUCGAGGCCUUCGCGGCUGGAGGAUUCGACCGAGGAAUGAGCGACUUCUUCAAGAUUGCUGCCCAAGGCAUGAAAGAAGCGCUUCCUCUGGUAACUGCACUUGGUGGCGGGUUCGAAGCUCUUAUGAGGCCUGUCAACGCUCUGGUCGGUAUUGGAGGGGAGCUUGGUUCCCAGUGGGAGAACAUUGCCAAGCAGUUCAACAUGACCGGCACAGGGCUGACUCUUACCACGGCUCAAACCCUAGCCUUGCUGACCCCUAUGGGCAGGUUGAUCUCUGCUAUUAGCUGGGGUGCGUUGGCACUGGAAGACUUCAUUGUCUUCUUGGAAGGCGGUGAUUCGGUGUUCGGGGACUUCUUGAACAACAACGUACAAGCUGCCGAGACAUUCGAAAAGCUAGCCAGUGAAUCCAGUGAACUGAAGAACAAUCUCGACGGUAUCUUCUCUGUUGUCCCGGGGCUAGCUGAAGCGCUCAAAGGUCUAGAGUUCAAUGAAAUGCUGGUCAGCACGAUGAGAGAACUUGCUGCCAUCAUGGAGUUCUUCAACAGUGUUGUAGAGAGAUUCGCAAUAGCCGGCAAGUACAGGGACGCUAAGAUUGCUGAAGCCGGAGGAGACAGAAGUACUAUAAUGUCGAACAUCGACACGAUGUACGCUAUGUUCAAUCCGGAAGAUGCAAAAGACAAGGCCACCUUCAUCGGUGACAGGCUAGUAGCUCAGAACAUUGACGCGAUCCAGACAGAGACUCAUACCCGUGCAACCCAGUCCUUGACUCCAGACCAGUUUGGGUAUAUGAUGCAACGUGGUCAAGUUAGAAACGAAAUGGAGGGUGCCCUCAAGAAGAGUGCCAUUGACAUUAGUUUCAACCUCAAUGUUUCUGGUAUCGAUGCUCAGGGUAACGUCAUGACAACUGAAGCGCAAGAGCGAGUACGAGAGAUCGUUAGUAACGUUCUUGAGGAAGAAAUCUCCAGAGCUUCGGCAAGUUAUAAGGAAUCCCAAUGACAAUUGCUAUCAAAAGAGAGAACGGAGACCUAAUCUGGUUCGACGCUGUUACAGAGUUCGGAAGACAGUACCGUGGCUCUGUGAGUUCCAACCCAAUCGAAACGGGAGGAAAAAUCACAGACCACAUUACCACAGAAAACCCAGUCUUCACUCUUACAGCCGUCGUAUCAGACGCAGACUUCAACUUGAACAGGCCCGUUAUCAACGACAACGAGGCCCAGACAUACAAGAUCAACAACAAAGAGUUCGUGAAUACGCAGCCGGUAACCAUCCCGGCUGUUAUCUCAACCUCUAGACUAGACCCUAGCAGAAUCUUUCCAGAAGUUAUCACUCAGUUUAUUCCUCCUGAGAUUCCUUCUGCAACUGUCCUCCCUCAAAAGGGUGAUAAAGUCGCUUAUGAUAUUGAGCGCCAACUGAUCGACAUGCAGCGUAACGCUGAGGUCUUCAGCUUGCUGGAUUUCAGAGACGGUAUUAUCUGGGAUCAAAUUGAGCGGUGCAUCUUUACCGACUUGUCCUUCAGCGAGAAUGCUGAAACUGGACAGAGUAUUCAACCUAGAAUGACUAUCGAGGCCGUGACAUUCACAGACACUCGCUACAUUGAAGUUAGGGUGAACAAGGGAAGAAAGACAGCCAAGAAGGAAAAGAGAGACACCAAAGACGGUGAUACAGGGGCUAGUAACGCCACUGGACAAGACUCUCCUACAUUCAAGCGUAGCCAGAUGAAAGAGGCUCAAAUUAGAACUCAAGUUGCGAGGUGAUUAAUGAGCACGACUUACAUCGACACACUUCCUUUGUACCAAGAUAGGAAGUAUAGAUACGCGGUAGCUCUGGAGGGCAUUUCCCGUGUCCUCCAAUUUUACUGGAAUAGCCGCUCUCGGCAGUGGCACAUGGAUAUAUUCGACGAGGAACUUAACCCUAUCCUGACAGGACUGGCGGUUGUUCCACAAUACCCGAUAAUUGCAGAUUACGCGAUGCAGCACAUCGGGUUUAAUGGGUACUUCUUGCUCAUGCCUGUCAACCUAGAACAGGUGCAGUACAAGCACGAUGCAAGCGACAUUGUACCUCAGUUUUUUGAACUUCUGUAUGUUAAUGUUGAUUUGGAGGAAGAUGCAGAGUGAGACAAUACGACAGAGUAUAUAAAUUGACGCUCGGUAAUACUGAGUCUGGUCAGGGAGUAGAGAUUACAAACCUUCAUCCUGAUGGGAGUGUUAACAGAGAAGGACUUCAGUUCAGGUUUGAUAUCUCUAAAAGCUCCGAUAACAAAAAGAGCGGCAACUCGGCUACUGUUGAGAUAUACAAUCUGUCGAUUGCAACUCUAAACCUUCUUGAAACCGAAUACCUUACUUGCAGACUAGAAGUGGGGUAUAAAGAAGCUGGAACUUCCGUUGUUCUAGAUGGUAAUGUUGUCGAAACAUCCACAAGAAAGAGUGGAAACGAUUACGUGACUCAGCUUAUUCUUGGUGAGGGUUACACUGCUCUAACUGAGACUAAGCUUAAGGGCACAGUCUCUCCGGGUAAGACUGUAAAAGACGUUAUCGAAGAGAUUCGUCUACAGAUGCCGGGAGUCGAUAGAGGAGCCUACACAGGCCUCAACUGCAAUAACCCCAUCAUGUAUGGCUACCAGCUACGAGGCCUCGCUAAAGACGCCCUGAAUAGCGUGUGCGAGGCUAACAAUAUCGAGUGGAACAUCAGCGGCAACGUGUUAAACGUUACAGAUGUGAACGGCCCUACAACGAAGAGCGUUCAGAUGGCUCCACUGGUGAGCAAAGAGACUGGCCUAAUUGAUAUCCCAUUCUACGCCAGUGCCAGCGGCACGUCUCAGAAGAAAGACAAGCGACGCAGAAGAGGGGUACAGUUCAAGUGCCUCCUGAACCCAGAGCUGACCCCCGGCGUUAUUGUCAGGGUGGAGUCGGAAAGGCUCUCUGGCACGUUUAGAAUCAACAACGUCCGUAUUUCAGGCGGAUAUAGAGACAACGAAUGGUACACCGAAUGUUGGUGUGCUGAUCUUAACCAAGAGGAUAUAGACCAAUGAGGAGAACAGGCCUACAGGAGCUUCUAAACCUCCACUCGUCCACAGAAGGCUCUAAGCAGUACACAGCCAUCCCUUGCGUCGUCCUGCGCGUUCUGGACGAUUUUAGACGCCUCUCUGUCGAUGUUAGACCAGUGGUCAAUGACCUGUACAAAGACGGCACGUCGGAAGAGCAACCAGAGAUUCUAUCUGUCCCUGUCAUUAUGCCCGGAACGGCUAACACUCUUAUCAGCUUCCCAUUGAACGUAGGAGAUACUGUCCUGUGCGUUUUCUCUCAAAGGACUAUCGACGUUUUCAAAGGGAGUGCAACCGGUCAGCCGCAUACACCGAACGACCUUCGGAAGUUCAACAUGGCGGAUGCCAUCGCUAUCCCGGGGCUGUUCACAUUCCCCCGGUCGAUGAAUGACCCGUCUAGGCACAGUUGGCCACACGAUACAAAAGACCUGACAAUCGCUCACAACCUCAUGACAGGGCAGGAAGCUGAGGUCAGAAUCAAAGCCAAUGGAGACAUUCUAAUCAAUAGCCGUAAGACUAUAAGCAUCAAUGCUCAGAAUGUCAACGUUAAGUGUGCCUCCCUGACGGUAGAUGCAGCCCACACAACAUGGAACGGCAACAUUGCCCACACAGGUAAUUAUGUUCAAACUGGCGGCACUUCUACAUUCAAUGGUAUUCCAUUCCAUACGCACAAGCACGGCGGUAUUAUGCCGGGUAGUGGUGUCACUGCUGUGCCACAGGCAUAAGGAGAAAUCAUGGACCUAUUUGUCAACCCGGAUACUCACGAUCUCGUUUUUAUAAACGGGCAGUGUCCGGUAACUCAGAGGAUGGUGGACAUUGUUGCUCAACGCCUCAAGAUCAAACUAUAUACGUUCCUCGGUGAGUGGUUCUUGGAUGACCGUAUCGGCAUCCCAUACUUCGAGAGAAUCCUAGGUAAAUCGAGAAGCCUCCCGGCAGUUGACGCUAUCUUCCAAUCGGAGAUUAUGCGAGACCCGGGCGUACUUGAAAUUACAAGUUGGCAGUCGGGAAUCGACCCCCAUACAAGAGAAUACUCCAUGGAGUUUACAGUUAGAACAACUGACAACACCGAGUCUCUUCCAAUCACAUUCCAAAUGGUAGGAGUUUAACAUGGCUGGAAUUACGGCUGAAGGUCUAACGAUCAAAGACUUGGACCAAAUCCUGACCGACUAUAGAAACGUAGCGUCUCAGGUAUUCGCUGACCUAGUUUCCACAGGAGACGAGGUUGACACAUCGGGUAACUCGGCACUUGGCCGUCUUAUCGGUGUAGUUGCUCCAUCGGACGAGGCAAUCUGGGAAGUAAUCCAGAUGGUUUACAACUCGUUCAACCCCUCGGCUGCCACUGGUGUAGCUCUGGACAAUCUGGUAUCCUUCUCUGCGAUUAGCAGAUAUCCGGCUCGCCCUACCAGAGCACAAGUUAUCCUAGAGGGUAACAUCAACACAGUUAUCAACUCGCCUCCGGCUAAGAUGAUCUCCAGCUCGACAGGGCGAGUUUUCCACUUGCUUCAGGGCGUCAUCCUUAGCCCGAAGGGCUGCUCUGGUGUGGGAAUCUUCCCUCAGACCGUAGGGAAUAGCCUGACGUACGAAAUCAAGAUGUAUGUUGACGAUAUUAACACCACAUCGAUCAAAUACACAAGCCCCGCUUCCGGUACUGUAACCUCUGGUAGCAUUCUUGCUGGGCUGGCCGCUGAUGUAGCUGCUAAUCACGGAAAUACCUUGACAAGCUACGAGCAAAAUGGUAUACUUUUCAUAGUACCAAUCGAUCCGUUCAAUACCAAGACAUUCGAAGAGGUGAGCAACCUCAGUAUUCAGAAGGUUAGAAAGCUUGGUAUCGCCGUUGAUGACGUUAUUGGCCCCGUGCCUCAGCAAGCUCUAGCUAUCGAUACGAUCGUCAUCCCUAUUGCCGGAUGGGAUAGUGUUAUCAACCCUGUUCCAGCCAUCCCCGGCCGUCUGCGUGAGACCGAUGAUGAGCUUCGUGAGAGGUUCCGAAACUCUAAAUUCGUACAAGCCACCAACAUUCUGGAGUCCCUAAUCGACGGUCUGAUGAACGUAGAAGGAGUUGAGGACGUUAGGAUUAUCGAAAACGAUACCGACAACCCAGACCCAGUUCAUGGAGUCCCGGGUCACUCGUUCCUUCCAAUCGUUCUCGGUGGCAUUCCUACAGAGGUUGCACAGUCCAUUUGGCUGAACAAGCCAUUCGGGAUUGGUUCUGUUGGAGAUACAGAGGUUCAGGUGGUAGACAGUCUGGGAUAUACCCAUAGAGUCAACUACCAGCGCCCUGUCGAGGUUCCAAUAGAGAUCAAGAUCAGUGUAACAAACACAGGAUCGAUGCCCGAGAACAUUGAAGAUAUCCUACGGCCAAGGAUUGUAGCGUACGGAACUGAGAAUUACAAGAUCGGAGACGACGUAAUUUAUUCUCGAUUCUACGCCCCAAUCAUGGAAAUCCCGGGCUUCCAAGUGAACAGCCUGACGAUUGCUAAGAAAGGACAAACUCAAGGUAUGGCGAACAUCGAAAUCGGGUUCAAAGAAGUGGCUACAUUCGCCGCAGCAGAUAUCACCGUAACUACGGUGUAAUGAUAGAAGGAGAAUUCCAUGGCUGUCAACCAAUUUGACAGAGAAGAUUAUCUGGAGGUGGCCCGGGAACGGGUCACUGAACAGUUUAAAGAGAAGCCGAUCUUUGAUCGCUUCCUGCAAGUGCUAUUGUCUGGUAAGUUUGAUAUCCAGAAUGCACUGGAAGACCUCCAGACUCUCCGGUCUCUGGACACAGCCACCGGGAAGCAACUGGACAUUAUCGGAGACAUUGUAGGGCGACCACGCGGUCUAGUGUACCAAGAUAUUUUCAACUAUUUUGGAUUCGCUGGAACGGAGCGUGCAGGUUCUUUCGGAAGCCUGUCGGACCCUACGGUCGGUGCUCCAUGGUACUCGGUCGGUGCUCCAACUGGUAACGCCAGAGAGCCGAGCGACGAAGAGUAUCGGAUGAUCCUGAAAGCAAAGAUCAUCAAGAACAGAACAAACUCAACCCCAGAGCAAGUUAUCGAAGCUUAUAAAUUUGUAUUCGGGGUUCCUGAAGUAUUCCUAGAGGAGUACGCUCCCGCUGCUGUCCGUAUCGGCAUCGGUAAGAUUCUAACGAACGUAGAGCGUAGUCUUCUAUUCGACCUAGGUGGUGCAGGUGCAUUGCUUCCUAAGACUAUCGGGGUUAACUACACAUACACUGAGUUCCAAGCUGGCCGGGUAUUUGCUACAGAAGGCUUCCCCGGAGGACAAGGCGUUGGAGACCUAAACGAUCCCACUGUUGGUGGAAUUCUGACCAACCUAGUGACAUAAGGAGUUAUAAAUGGCUGAUUACAGUCAACUACCUAUUGAAAAUAUUUGGUCCACAGGCGGGGAUAUGGUAGCCCCGACCCCUGCGCAGCAGCAAGGCGGAUGGGGUAUUCAGUCGGUUCCUCGCCAAUGGUGGAACUGGAAAUGGAACCUUCACGAUACCAACCUAGCGUAUCUUCUACAGAAGGGUAUCCCGGAAUGGACCAGCACUCAAGAGUAUAUUGCAAACAAAUCGUUCUGCACAAGGGGUGGUUUCGUCUACAAGGCUGUCCGCACCCAUACAGGAAGUGACCCUGCACAAGUUAGUGCCAACUGGGUUCGAGCUUUCGCAGACUUUACCACAUCUAGCUCUGCACUUGGAAGCCUGACACCAAGAGAAGGUGGAAUCCCAUUCUUCAUUAGUGCUACAGGAGCUAGCGUGUUUGACUCUACGGCUUAUGGCCGUGGCAUGCUUAACGUGGCUAACGCAGCCGGAGCAAGAAACUAUAUCUCGGCUCAAGAAAGUUCUGUUGUACUGUCCAACCUGUCUACUGUGACUAGGGCUGCCAACGCGGUUCCGUACUUCAACACGGAUACCUCCAUGGCCACCUUCAACAUCACAGCGUUCGGAAGAGGACUUGUCAACGCGGGUGAUGCAUCUAACGCAAGAGCCUUCCUAGGCCUUGCUAACUCUGCUACUAUCACAGCAGACUCUGCUAACAGAGCCAACACUCUAGUUUACCGAGACGCAGCAGGUAACUUCAACGCUGGUGUGAUUACUGCUACCCUGUCUGGAAACGCAACAACAGCUAGCAAGCUUAGGGCUCCAGUUACUAUUAACGGUGUAGCAUUCGACGGAAGCCAGAACAUUGUUCUUCCGGGACUGGACACAAGUUACGCAGGGGUUGUAGCGAGGCUCCAUAUUAAUGGGGCUAACAUGACCGGAACAGAUAAGACUACCCAGCUAGCUCUUAGAAAUAAAUCCGAUACAGAUUGGAUUAGCUUGGUUACUCCUGAUGAUAGCUCGGUGGUGUUUCAAUUCAGAGGCCCAGAAGCGGCUAAUGCCUCUGUGCGGAUUAACUCUAAUGUCGUAUUCCACGCGGGGAACCAGUACGGACUAGGAGCUACUCAAACGCAAGCCAGAGAGCGGCUCUUGGUUGACAGACUGGCACAGAACACGACUCAGACUGUGCUGUACAACGCAGAUAAGAGCAGGUACUUCUGGUUGCAAGAUAACGGUGUUUCCGGUAUCUGGGACGCAACGACUAACACCCCUCUAUGGCGUUUUUCUAGACUAGGCCAGCUCGACUACGGAACAGUCCCUGUUGCACAAAUUACAGGAUUGGCCAACUCCGCGACAAUUCCGGCAUCCGCCUCCAAUCUGACUAAUCAGAUUGUUGUGAGGAGCGGAACAGGAGAUAUCGCAGUACAAGGCGUUACAGCGUUUGGCGCUGUUCUGGGAACAGACUAUAUUAGAGUAAGAGCCAGCACUGGUAACGCUCACCUAGUAUUCCAGAGGAAUGAUGGAGCAGAGGUAGGGCUUAUUUGGGGAAUCCCGUCUGCCAACUCUCUGAACUUCAGGACCGCAGGCGGUGCGACAGGCAUGUCUCUGGCUGGUCAGGACUUGACUGUAGUUGGCAGGGUGAAUGCUGCGACACUCAAUUCGUCUGGCAACGUCAACUCUGGCAACAGCGUGAUUGCUGCCGGGAACGUGCAGGCUGCUGGCCGUGUGUACUGCGGCGAUGCUUUUAUGAGCAGCAACGGCAACCUUACUGGCGGAGCUUUCGGCUCUUAUGGGACUCUUACCAACUGGGUAGACUCUGUAUACGCCAGAAAAACUGACGUAAUGACUGAUGCCCAAAUCUUGGCUGCCACUUCUAGAGGUAGUGCUCAGGCUGUUGGAACAUACGUCUUUGCGAUUGCAGCUAGCGGGAGCGGGGAUGUUGGGACUGUAGUAGCUGGUACGUCUCUAAGGUCUUCGUCUCCCGUCAACUACCAUGGAACUACGCUAUCCGGUAGCUACAGGUGCAUGGGUAAGUUCGGAGCCGGAGGUUCUAACCAGAUUACCUUGUUCCAGAAGGUUGCAGCUUAACAAAAUAGGCCCGUAAGGGCCUUUAUAACUGGAGGUGAUUUUAAUGGAAUUCAGAAACGUUGUAAAAAUUAAAGCGGGGUUCGAGUGCGAAAUAAACCAUCCAGAAUUGGGAUGGAUUCCUUACGGCGCUGUAGAGGGAUGCCCUACGUCUCACUCCAUGUACGUGAAGAUCGCCGCAGCGAUUGAAGAUGGCUCUAUGGAAGUGGUAGAAAAAGAGGACAAAUAUGAUGACUUUGAAGCCAGAUUGUGGAGAGACAACGAGCUAACCCGGGCUGACCGUCAAGUAGAGAUUGCUAUCGACGAUGAAGACGAAGUAAGAGAGAAGGCUUGGCGUAAGUAUCGUUCUGCACUACGUAAAUGGCCAGAGCACAAGAACUUCCCAUCCGAAAAGAGCAAACCUAAAGCUCCUAAAGAAUAAGGCGAGGUAAUAUAUGCCAAACAUUAUGAAGCCUACGGGUAUUAACGCUAUCUGGUCUGAAAACGGCCAGAAGGUUGACCCGGGUGCUGUAAAAGUUGGGCUUGGAUGGGUGACAGAACUACCUCCCUACCAAACUGCCAACUUUAUCGAGUACAAACAAGACCUGUUUAACGCUCACGUUAACCAACAUGGUAUUCCAGAGUGGGACAGCGUUACAGAGUAUCAGGGCAAUCUGAGCUAUACUCAGGGCGCUAACGGAGUUAUCUAUAAGUGCCUUAGGACUCACUCUGAUAAGAUUCCAACUGACCCUCUGAACAUUACAGCCGGAUAUUGGAGAGUGGCGUUUGAGGAUGCAGGGGAAGCGGCCAAGGUUCAAGCCAACCUAGACAAACACGUAACCAACUACAACACCCUCUCUGGGAUUGGCAACGUAGUUAUUGCAAGACAAAACCUAAGUGUGUAUAGUAAAGCUGAAGGCGAUGCCCGGUACGCUAUGAAGCACGGGAACGGCUCUAAUGUCUUCAGCGUUGCCACUGCCACACAGCCAACUCACGCUAUUCCUUUGAGCCAAUUGGCCACUCUCGUCCCUCCGGCUACAGAGACCGUUAGUGGCGUCAUGUCGAUUGCAACGACAAUCGAGACAGAGGCCGGCACUAAUGACGCUAAAGCUGUCAGCCCUCUGAAAGCCGCUCAAGUGUAUCUGAAAAAGAAAGAUAACCUAUCCGGGCUGUCUAACGUAACUGCGGCUAGAGCUAACCUAGGCCUAUCUGACACCGCUACAAUGCCUUCGGCUACGUUCCUGAAGGCUGCCAAUAACCUGUCUGAUGUUCCUAACAAGGCAUUGGCUAGGUCUAAUCUUGGAAUUACAAGUAGUGCUACCCAGCCGGAAACCUAUUUCUUGAGGAGCGCUCAGAACCUAGCAGAUGUACCUAACAAGGCACAAGCUAGAGUCAACCUAGGCCUCACUGGGAUGGCUACAACAGACCCUGCGGCGGUUAUGAUGAAGGCAGACAACCUUGCUGGAUUGGCUAACACUGCUACCGCUCGGUCCAACCUAGGGCUAGGCACAGCUUCUACUAGAAAUACAGGAGACUUCCUGUCGUCUGUGGCUAACCUGUCCGACCUCACGAACGUCCAAGCAGCUAGAAACAACCUAGGGUUGAAGGGAGCGGCUACGCUCGAUGUAUGGGGUCUUCCUGCGAAUACAACUGCUAUGGACUUCCAGUCUAAUCAGUCGGAUAUUUCCAGAGGAUGGGCUCGACUACCAAACGGCCUUCUGCUACAAUGGGGAACUGGUCCCGGUCUGUCUGAUGACACAAGGACGAAUAUCCAACUCCCUGUUCCAGCACGAAUCUUGAACGUUCAAGUGACCGUAAUGGGGACGUUUAACAACUCCAUCGGCCCGGGCGCUUUCAUGACGGAUAUGUGGAGCAACACCGGGUUUAGAGUUAGCUGCAACUGGGGCAACUGGUCUUACCCGUUCAACUGGUUUGCUAUCACUUCCACCCUGUAAUUCAGGAGUAUCAAAAAUGGCUCUAACUGAGCAAGACUUCCAAUCGGCUGCCGAUGAUCUAGGAGUCGAUGUUGCCAGUGUAAAGGCCGUCACUAAAGUAGAGAGUCGUGGGAGCGGCUUUCUACUUUCUGGCGUCCCUAAGAUUCUAUUCGAAAGGCACUGGAUGUUCAAGCUUCUCAAAAGGAAGCUAGGUCGUGACCCUGAAAUAAACGACGUUUGCAACCCUAAAGCUGGAGGAUACCUCGGCGGACAAGCGGAGCACGAACGUCUAGAUAAAGCAGUCAAGAUGGAUAGAGACUGCGCACUUCAAAGUGCCUCUUGGGGCCUAUUCCAGAUUAUGGGAUUCCAUUGGGAGGCACUAGGUUAUGCGAGUGUUCAGGCAUUUGUCAAUGCCCAGUACGCUAGCGAGGGAUCGCAACUAAACACUUUUGUGCGCUUCAUCAAGACCAACCCGGCAAUUCACAAAGCUUUAAAGUCUAAGGACUGGGCAGAAUUCGCAAGAAGGUAUAACGGGCCGGAUUACAAGAAAAACAACUACGAUGUUAAGCUAGCAGAAGCCUAUCAAUCCUUCAAGUAAAUCUAGGAAGGUUCCUAAUGAAGAAGCUAUUCAAAAGCUGGAAGUUCUGGGCUGCUGUAGGCUCUGCAACUUUUAUGGCUCUGGAAGCCAUGGUUCAUCUUUGGGAGCCUAUCCUUCCUCCCGGCGUGUUCGCCGCAGUAGCCACACUGGUAGCUGUUGGUGUGAGAAUUUCGGCAGUGUUUGUAACUGCUGGUAAAGUGGAGGAAGCGAUUUCGGAAACCAUAGAAGAUGGCUCAAUAGAAAAUGAUACUAACUAAACUCAAAAACUACGCCCUCGUAGUAGCUGCCGCAAUGGCAGCAGGGUUUGGAUAUCUGUCGUUCUCUUUGUACGGCGACUUAGCUGUUGCGAAGAAUGAUAUCCAAUCUCUUCAAGCUGCGUCUCGACAGAUGGAAGAGCAGUUCCAGAAAGAGCGAGCAGGGUGCGAGAUCACCACUGGGAGACUAGAGGCGCAUAUAGUCCAAAUGAAGAGCCGACAGGAGCUUCUACAAGGCCACCUGUGCGAGCUUGAGUCUCUACCUAACCCAACCCCAAGGGAGACCCAAGAAAAUGCCACAGAGACGAUCUCUGAGCCUUCUACUGGGGAUAGUCUGGACCCUGCUCUUACAAGCUUGCUCGACAGGGCCUUCUGUUCCGCAGUACCAAACGAUCCUUAUUGUGCCCCCGGCAAGCCUGACCGAGGAGGUUAAGGUAUACCGAGUGGAGCAAGAUACAGUCAAGGGGCUCGCUAGAGCUUACAUUCUAAAUACUAACAGUGCUGCCAUGUGCAAUAGUCAACUACAGACGAUAAAGCUAUGGGUAGAAGAGCAGAGGGCUCUGUAUGGAAAGUAAAGACGGCAAAGAAGGCCUAAUCAAGGUAGCUACACAGGGAGUUAUCUCUCUGCUAAUUGCUAUCCUAAUGGCUUGGUCUGGAUUCCUAAGUUCCAGUCUUUCUAAGCAGGAAGAACGUAUCUUUGCGAUGCAAAGAGAUAUGGUAUCCGAGGCAAAACUUAACGCACUAGAGUCGAGAUUCAAUAGCCGACUUGAAAGUGAAAUUAGUAACGUAAGAAGAGAACAACAAGAAACCAACCGGUAUUUGAUUUUGAUUAUGAAUGCCGUCAAGGGUCGGGAUACAGAAACUCAAUAACUAUAACCCGUUAACCCACACUGGGAGACAAUAUAAUGACAAGGAAACAAGACUGGCCGCUAGUUUCAGCAGUCGGGGCUUUGUUUAUCUCCCUCCUUGUCUGUAUGGCUAUUCUGGCUUUCACAGCGAUGACUCCCGAGGCUCGGUUUGACUCUGUACGCCAGACCUACGAGAUUCGAAUUAGCGAAUCUGAGCGGCGGUAUGAACUCAAACUGAACAGACUACAGGAUCAGAUAAACUCGGCCUCGUACACACAGGAUCGGCAAUCCCGUUUGCAAUAUGAAGAACUCGACUCGCUUAAAAGGAAGAUUAGCGAACUUGAGCGGAGAAUAAAAGAAAAACAAGAAUAAUUAAGCCCCGGGAGCGAAAGCUUACCGGGGCUCUUUGUUAUGACUGGGUUGCUUCCCACACUUCGUUAAACAGUUCGUCGAUUUUGGAGGAAAUCUUGGAUACCUUCUUUUUACGGAGUCGAUUAGCCUCUGGAUCGGAGUGAACGAGGCUCACGUCGCUAGCGUUUCCCCAGUCCAUUUCUCCGUUUUCGAACAGAACUUUAAUGUUCAGAUUAUUAGCUGCUUUGUCAAUCCCUGCGACAACUCCGAUCACCAUGGCGUUAUAUUUCUCGAAUGUGGGCCUUGGAUUGUCCAUAUUCAGGGAGUUCACCUUAACAACCUGACCCUUCUUAACGUCCUCUAGUUUCAUUUUACUACCUCCUCAGUCUAGUUUCAUUAGCGUAUUGAACUGAUACCUCAAAGACUUGAAAGCCUGUGGGCCAUCGUCCUCCGCUCCUUCAUGGAUAUGAUGAGCGAUCAAGUGUAUCAGUCCUCGGUCUCCUAGCAACACAGAGCUAGGAAUCUCUUUUAUCCAAGCCACAAAGCAACAGAAGUGUAGAACUUCCGGCAUGGAAGCCUUGAAGCUGGAAUCGUCCAGCUUCGACAGGCGCUCGUAAGUGGCUUUGAGGUCGGGAUAGCUUAACUGAUACGUAGCGUCGUCGUCAAUAUGCUGAUCCCCUCUAACUACAUACUGCAAGCUCAUAUUACACCUUCUUGCCGCCUUCUGCAAGACGUGCCUCUCGCUUAUGGUCCGCACGGGUCAUAUUGUACUCGAUCUUCUCGAUGAUCGCACCUGCAACAUCUAGACCUCGAACAUUAGCAUAGUCCAUGAUACGAAUGAUAGCGUCAGCCAGUUCCACCUCUUCCAUCUUCCGCUCUGGCAAGUGAUCGUCCAUCAAAUCCUUACGGACUCCUUCAGCCGCUUCGGCGAUUUCAGUGGUAACGAGCAUCAGCAUGUGCAGAGCAUCACGUUUAAUCGGCUCGCCUGUGACCAGAUCGGUGUUCCACUUGCGGUUAACAACCUCAAGACCAGUCAUCAUUUUGUUAAAACCGCUAACAAACUCGAAGACGGACUCUCGUUCGAAUAGUUCACCGAACGUUGGCUCUUGAUGUUCGGCAAUUGCAGUGUGGAAAGGCCACUCCAUCCAAGCGUCAUAGCACUUUUUGAUAAGCUCUUGUUCGUCAAUGUAUGAGAGGAAGUCCUUCUCUCCACCAAUCGCAUCAAUAACUUCAGUCUCCCCUUCCCAAGCACACUUAUCAAUAAGUCUCUGGUCGAUUCGCAGGGAAGUGCUGCCAACUUCUUCCCAUGAUCUCCAGCCUACUAUACCAUCGCCGAAGUACAGCAGGAUGGGUAGAUUGAAUCUCCGCUCUUCCUGCUCCUGAGACUCCAUAGCUACAACAAACGCCGGUACUUUUUCUCCACCUACGCCAUUGGCCAAGACGAAAGAACCUAAGUGAGUGGUUUCCCGGUUAGCUGGGCGAUGAGCUUCCUCGAUAUGGUCUUUAACUUUACUCAUUAACUUCGUCCUCCUCGCAAAACAUUUCAAAAUAACAAUCACAGCAUACCAACAUGCCGCCGUCAUUUACAAUUUCUUCGACCGGGAGAAUGCUUCCACAGCAUUCACACCCAGCCCGUUCGACAGCAUCUGCACAGGCCCAAUAGUCCAUCUUCACCCUCCUUCACUCCUCCUUCAGAAGGUACUCGUUGCUAAUAACCUUGAAACUAAAGUCUCGGCUCAUGCUUUUGAACACCAAACCUUCCCGGUACUUACCGUUCAACGCAGACUCUCCGCUAGCCAUUUCAAUUACAUCUUGCAUGUCUUUUGGAACGCCUACGUCCCACAUGUACACCGGCACAUGUUUAACAUCCUCUUCGCCGUCAUCAGCUAGCGCGUUCAGGAUUCCCAGAGUGGCCAGUCGCUCUUCUGGAAGAUAGUAACGACUCUCCGAAAUGUUGUAGAUAUCGUACACAUAGUAUUCCGGUUUGUCAACUCCCUCGAAGUUGCCUUGAAUAUUCGGUGCAACCAGUUCACCCUGAAGGGCGAUAUUUAGACCAAACUCCCGGAGACGUUCACCAAGAUUAAGCUCUUCUGCCAUCGCAGUGAAGUGAUUGGAGUCUUUCUUAAUAACACGCUUCCAGCCACGACCCUUAAAGAAGUUCUUGACAGCCGUGAAGAACCCGAUUUUCUCGUCUUCCAGACGGAAGCCAACAUUUCGGGAUGCGACGCCUACUUCUCCAUCCUUAUGCCAGAUAGUGAGAGACGAACCGUCCAGCUUGAAUGUCACUUCAAACUUCUCACCCUUCUGAUGAGCCUGAUCGUAGGCCAUUUUAAUAUUCUGCACGCGAGUCUGAUCCGUUUUCGGGAUGAAGUUAGGGAACCCUAGCUUGGAAGUGCCAGUUCGGUCGCCCUUGUUACCGCCAUUGAUAGCUGCCUGCUCAGACGGCUUUACAUAUUUCAGGAUGCCCAUUCGAUCAGUAACGUCUUCGUCUACUUUCGGCUCUGGACUGCCGGCUGAAUGAACAGGCACGAUCAGUCCUUGGCUAAGCUCUUUGCGAAGCUUCAUGGUCUUGAUUCGAGAAUACUCUUUUCCACCUUGUUCGACCAUAUUACGGCCACGCAGGAAUUCAAAGAUAGGGUUGUCUACAGGGACCAUGGAGUCCACUUCAAUGUAGAUUGCCAGAUCGCCAGCCUUAUACUCCCCGCGUUUGAUUACGCACUGCCAACCUCCAACAAGCGCCAGAUCGAGGCUGUCAGCGUUAGGAUGGGUCUUCACAUCAUCGAUACGAACUACUCGGGCAAGUACGCGGUCUUGGGAAUUACUCAUAUGUUAUCCUCCUUGUUUGAAAAUUGGUAUAUUACUUGUUAAACCAACCGAGGUCAAUAGCUCGCUCUAAGGCCAGUAGCAGAUUUUCAGCAUCUAGAAGGUCACGGAUCGCGAUCCAACUGCCGCUGUCUCCCGGUAGACCAUCUGUGAUAUAUACAGGUAUGUCGCUGUACUCGCUCUUUUUAAGCCCGCAGGCACAGGCUACAUUGUCUCCGAAGACAAUCUCGCUGACUUCCCUUGCCUCGUCUCGAAUAUCAAUCUUCAUUAUGUUUUUCUCCUGUUGUGUUGAAAGUCGUUGUAUUCUGCAUGGAUUCAUCUGCUGUGUCAAUAGCCUUGACAAGAAAAUAAUCCGUGGUAAAGUGUGAGGCCUGCUGGAGAGAAAUGUCCACGUCACUCACCGGCCAGCAGUAUAGCGUAUGAAGAGGAAAGCUGCAAGCGCAUCCUGAGUCGAAUCUGAGAACAGGGCAGCGACGACCCGUAAGGGGAAAGCUCAGAGCCUAUAAGGAGCCCAUGCUCCCCGCUCACCGACUCAUCUGCAUAAUGAGAGCGAGAGGCAGACCAGAGGCAUGUCUUAGGCGGAAAAAUCCGUAUGGCAAGCCUAGGGACAGGUCUGCCUCCACUACCGAUCUAUCUGCAUACAAGAACUUGACAGUAUCCUGUAAACCGUGUAGAGUAAUCUCAAAUCAACCGCAGAGGAGUGUAUAAAUGAAGCAUGUUAUUCACCGUGAAGACCUUAUCGACCUACUACGUGAUCGUAUGAAGCUUGAAGCUCUAGAAGCUGGCGGGGUGGACAACUGGGACUGGUAUGAGGCCUCGCUAAUCGACUGCGGAUACUUCGAUGACGAUGGCCGGGAGCUAGAGGUCGAAGCUCUUGCAGAUUGCUUCCCAACCGUAGGUGCGUAACCGUGGAGGAGUCGAAAGCUACCUUCAAAGACCCUUACCCUAGGUUCUUCGACGCUUCUCGUAGGUAUGGCGAAACCAACGACUGCAUGGUGGUGAGCUUUGCAGUCGUAUGGAACACCACCUAUGAAAAGGCACACCAGCACCUGAAAGUGAAGUGCAAGCGCGGUUACCGGCAAGGGGCUACUCAGAAGCGCUUCAGCUACGCAGACACUUGGUGCCCUAAGACCCGGAUGCUCUACCGGGAGGAUGCUAAGGAUAAGACUCUUAGGCAGUUUGCUGAGGAAAACCCUGAAGGUCGGUUCUGGAUCGCGGUAAAGGGUCACGCUAUUGCAAUCAUCGACGGAGUGUUGUACGAUCACACUAAUGACAAAAGACGCAUCAUCUGGCACUGCUGGCAAGUGUGGCCCGGGGAGGCACCUGAGAAAAUCGAGAGGAAGCCUGAUCCAAUCUCACCUCCUGUGAGAAAGGCCCCAGAUUGGUAUGUCUGAAGAUUACAACUGAGGAGGAAUUAUGGAAAUUAUUUCGAGAGGGACGCUCCCUCAAGAGGUUUUGUUUACGGCUAAGUGCCACCACUGCUUGAGCAUUCUCCGGGCUAAGAGGUCGGAACUUGAGUAUGUUUCGUUCUCAUUCUGCCGUCCCGGAGAGACGGGAUACUACUCCGCAGAAUGCCCUGUCUGUCACGAAGAGGUGACUGCUUGGGUUGCAGUCCCUGUCACCCAUGUAGCACCUCCUACGACAGAGUACGUAGCAAAGGGGCGUGAAUAACAUGGAUCAGUUAGCGGGUUUUAUGGGCGAACCUUUUGUAAUUGCAUUCGAUUAUGAUGAGACAAUCAGUCUCUACCCUCUUGCCUUCCGAAUCGUCAUGGAUACCUUCAGGGGCUUUGGAGGCGCUUUCAAUGUGAUCGUAGUCACUGCACGCCACCCUGACAACAGCGGAGAGUUAGAGUGGCUACGGGACUACGGGUUCCCGAUCUAUUUCACGGCACAGAAGGCAAAGCGACCAUUCAUGGAAAAUCUUGGAAUAAAAGUCUCUGUAUGGGUUGACGACAACCCGUUCAGCGUGGAUAAUGACCUUCCUCCGUGGACAGUGGAGCAAUACGAUGCCUACAUGGAGGCAAAGAAGCAACGAGCUAUCAACAGAGGGAGUAAAGCAUGAGCGAGAUUAUGAAGGUUGAAGUGGGAGAUCGGGUGGUCCUUAAGGCCUAUUGCGAUACAUACACUGGAUGUGCAAAGCGAUGGGCGCAGGCGCAUGGACGUUUGGAUGAACUGCUGGCUACGGGAUUCGUAGAAGAUAGCUGGGUACAUUGUGAUGACCUCGCAGGAGGCUUGAAAGGUACUGUCGUGAUGACUGAACUAGAAGAAUGUUGUGCAGUACGUCUAGACGCCUACACCGAUCACAGGGCUGUAGUAGUUGUCGACUCGUCUGACCUGUACAUCGCAUGCAAGGCAGCAAAAGCUCCCGUAAGCACCCUAGACGAGGCCUUCGGUUGUGACCACGACUACCUUAUGGACUCUCCGGCUAACGCUCAGCGACUGAAUGAGUCUGUCGAGCAGCUACGGACUGGUCAAGUCGUAGAAGUGGACGUACCUAUGAGUGUAAAGCAAGACGAAACUCCACCUGUCGUAGUGCAUGUAGUAGAGAAGAUUUACGAUAGGAAAGGUAACGUACACCUCAUUCUACAGUAUGAGGUAGCAGGGGCGCUAAUCAGGACGGUGGUUGAACAGGGAGAACUCAUUUACUUCUUGGAUGAAAUGCAAGGUAUGUACUUGACCAAGAUUCAAUUGGAGGUGAACAAUGGAGUUGUAUGACCAGUGGCGUAAGUAUAUGAGCGUCGUAAUCUUAGAAGAAGAAGAUAAUGAGCGUCAGUGCAUGCGGCUUAUUGAGGCAGUUGGCGAACUCGAUCCCUAUAUCCAAGAUUUCCUAGAUUCUUUCUCUAUUAAAACUGAAGGAGGUGUGUAAGCAUGAGUCAGAGUAAGCGCGAUGAGAUUGUAGUUGAAGCACGUGGGCUAGAGAGCUACUUCAUUUCCCACUGGAACGGCUGGGAUGUGAUGGACACUGCUUGUCUCGGAUUUUAUAUCAAACCUGAGUAUGUUCUUGACCCGGAUAUUCGAGAGCUUGAGCCUAGCUUCUUGGAGCUUGAUUUCGAGCGUUGCCGUUUCCGAUUCUGGGGAAAUGAAGACGAAGGCGUGGACGGCAAACUCAUGGAGGGCAAGUUGCAGAUUAUGACCAACUCCUUCGAGUACGUCUUCUUCAAGGAGGUUUGAGUGGCUAGACAGACUUACGAGUCUGCAUCAGAUAGGGCGGUCGAGGAGGCCGUCCGUUCUGAGCUUGAAGGGCGGUGGAAGUGUUCUCUUCAUAAGCUACCUAGAGCCCACUAUAUGGAUUGGGCAGCCUGCCGGAAUGGAAAGGUUGUUAGCUUUGUGGAGCUUAAGGCUCGGAAUAAUGAAAUGCAGAAAUAUCCCGACUUCUUUGUGUCCCAGAUGAAGUGGCUCCAUGGGAUCGAAAUGCAAAGGGUGUUUGACAUUCCCGCAUUCCUUGUGGUAAAGUGGACGGACUAUACAGGAUAUGUCAAAAUGACAGCCAACGGCGUCAACUACAUGAGCAUGGGUGGCAGGAUUGACCGUGGAGACUGGCAAGACCAAGAAGUUAUGGUCCAUAUCCCGCUGAAAGACUUCACACGUUUAUAGGAGGACACAUGAAGAGACUCUGCUACCGUUGCAUGCAUCUUGGAGAGCCUGUCAUGCUCCGUCAUAAGACGGGUAUCUGGUACAAGGGUUGUAGUAAAUGUGGAUCAGGAGUAUUCUAUGGCUAAGAAGAACCCUGUAUUCAAGUUUCUGAAUACAGUAAACAAGCCCUCAGUGGAGAGGGAUAAAACCAAAUACAGGCGGAAGCCUAAGCAUAAACAGAAGGAGCGAUUAAAUGAAGAAGGGUGAUAAAGUGAGGAUCAAUGAUGAUGCUGAUACCAUCUUCCGGGGCCGUGUUGCCACUAUCAUCGCAGUAGACGAAGAGGGUUGCGUUAUCGACGUUGGGAGUUACGAGGAUGAGAGCGGAGAGCUGAUCGAGUACCUUCACCUAUUCUUUGAGCGUUCUGAGUUGUCCAAGCAGGCGUAGGAGUGUAUAAUGAACGGACCCGAGUGUAGAUGGUGCGGAGAGAAAACUGAAGCUGAGUUCGUAGACGUUGGGCUUGGAUGGACGCAGCAAGUCACUGGAGGCAUGUGUCACCAGUGUGGAGGGUACGAGAACGGUUACUACCAGAACGACGGAAGGCUCACAGAGGUCGAGUUUGCCACCUACUGGAGUGGUCCGUUCGAAGAUUAUGCGGAUUUCUCGCCAUUCAAUCAUAUGAGAGAAGGCGACUCGCCAUGAAGGCUACACUGAGAAACCACAAUCUGCUAUACAUCUACUUCCACACGUUCUCGGAAAUGAAUGAGUGGUUGACAGAGAACGCUGUAGAUCAAUGGACAGUCACGACUCUGGGCUCCGGCUAUCAGGUGGCUGUUCCUAUGGACCGUGCAAUGCGGGACCAAUACGUCUCGGAGGGGGGUUGACACGAACACAAGGUGAUGCUAAACUCCGUGGUUGUCUGAAGUAAGGAGGUUUUAUGUCCAAAAUGACCGUGGCCCAAAUUGCGGCUAUGCACGGUAUCGAUCUGUAUUCUGACCACAAGACCGCUUGUCCCCAAUGCCGGAAGAAAGGCGCUGACAACAGCGGAGACAACCUAAAGGUCUAUGGUACUGAUCGUAAUACCGGGGAACACAAAGGUGCCUAUUGUUGGGCGUGUGGGUACACCUUGCUCUCUGAAGAGCAGGAAAGAGACGCCCGGGGAGAAGACGAAGAGGAGUGGAAUUUCGUGGGAACUGAAUUUAACGCAGAGAUCAACGCUCAAAUUAAAGAGCAAUGCUCGUAUGAUCCGCGUGGUUAUCGUGGCCUGUCCAAGGAAACUUGCCAGUAUUUCGGAGUGCUACAUGGUUUCGACCCGGAGACUGGCGAGAUUGCAACUCAGCUAUAUCCUACUACUACUAAUUAUGAACUCACUGGCUACAAACAGCGGAUCAUGCCGAAGAACUUCUCAGAGCCUAUCGGCGAGACCGGGAAGGAUUGCGAGCUUUUUGGUCAGUUCAGGUUCAAGAAUAGCAACAGCAAGAAGGUGCUUAUUGUAGGCGGUGAGGUUGACCAGCUAUCAGCAUUCCAGAUGCUCAAGGAGUAUGAUGACCGGCGAGCAGGCGGUAAGAGUGAUUAUGAACCGACUCCAGUGGUCAGCCCUACUAUCGGUGAGAGUGGGGCAUGGAAGCAGCUACAGGCUCAGUAUGAGUGGCUAGACCGGUUCGAGCAAAUCAUUCUCUGUUUCGACAGCGAUGACGCAGGACGAGAGGCAGCAGACAAGGCAGCCGAUAAGCUUCCGAAGGGCAAGGUGUUCAUGAUGGAAAUGAACCGUAAAGACCCUAACGAGUAUUUGAAAGCUGGGCGUCAAUCGGAGUUUGUCAGUGCAUUCUAUCGAGCCCGUACAUGGACCCCUAGCGGUAUUGUAGGGUCUGAUGCACUCGACGCUCGAAUGUAUGAAGCUGUGCAGGUUGAGAAGAUUCCUCUGCCACCGUUCGCUAAGAAGCUCCAGAAGGCUAUGGCAGGAGGCAUCCCGUUGGGCCGGAUUGUGAAUAUCGGCGCUGCAUCGGGCAUGGGUAAAUCUACUGUAGUGGAUGAGUUCACUCUGUUUUGGAUUUAUAACUCGCCUCAUAUGCCGGGUACUGUGACUCUGGAAUCGGACUGCGGGGAGUACGCAAUCAAGCUGCUGAGCCGUAAGGUAGGUGAGAAGGCAGACUUGUACGAGACCGUUGAAGAGAAAGUGGCGUUCCUUGAUCGGCACCGUGACGCUCGGUACGACUUGUGGCACAAGGAAGACGGAAGCCCACGCUUCUAUCUGAUCGAUGACCGAGACGGAAGCCUAGCAGCCCUCAAGGCUCAAAUCGAACAACUGAUUAUUCAGUUUGAGUGCCGUGUUAUUAUUCUGGACCCGCUUCAGGAUAUUCUGGACGGAUUGAGCAACGAAGAGCAAUCGGUGUUCAUGCGCUGGCAGAAGGGUAUGACCAAGAGCCACCGUGUGACGUUCAUCAACAUCAACCACGUUCGUAAGAGUGGGGGUGGUCAGAAGGCUAACUCGGCAGGUGCGGAACUGUACGAAGAAGAUUUCCAAGGGUCUUCGUCCAUCUUCAAAUCUGGCGCAGCUAACAUUCUGAUGUGGCGGAACAAGGACGCGGAGAACGAGUUCGAAAAGAACCUGAUUAACGUGAAGCUCUCUAAGUGCCGAUGGACUGGCCGCACUGGAAUGAUGGGCAAUUGGUACUACGACGUUGAGACUCAUACAAUCUGGGACUUGGACGACUAUCUGGACCGAUACCCUGACAAGCGCCGUGAAUACGAGGCUUGGAUGGCUCAGAAGGAAGAGGAAGGCCGGGACACGGAAUACUAAGGUUGACAGAGGGGUGAUGCUUAUGUAUCAUCCCUUUCGUCGUUUACAGGAGGAAAGGAAAUGCAACAACGAUUUGAAACAAUCGAGCAAUACCUCGAAUGGAUGGGAAAUAACAAUGUCACCAACAUGACUUGGGAUAUCGAGGCCACAGGCCUGUUGGAUGAAACGUCUAUCGAUUACACUGCCAGCCCCUACAAGAUUAAGCCUAGCUACAAACACCACUGCAUUGUAGUGGAGGAGCACGGUGGCAAUAUUCUGGCAUUCUACGAUGGGCCGACCUACGUCUUUGACGGGCGAGAGUACACUGAGAGACUGCCGAAAGCGUCUUCCAUGCUCCACACUGAAGAAGUUGUGACUCUCAAGGACUACACUCCGGUAGAGUAUAUUCACCUGCCGCUGAAAGAGUUCAAGAACUAUGUGCUCAAGCGCAAGAUCAAGCGCGUAGUGGCUCACAACAUGAUUAACUUCGACCUUAUGUCGAUGAAGCUUGUGGAAGAUAUGGACUUUACUAUCGGCGUCGAGCACAGGGAUGGUGGUCUAACUACUUGGUCGGCAGAUACUUGGAUGGGCAAGCAGGUGGUAUUCGACGAUACCCUCGUUAUAUCCAAGACUUGUAACCCUGACCUGUUCGGUGGCCACAGUCUGGAUAAGCUGUCUCGUCGCGCUGGCGGGGACACCAAGAUCGACUUCCGUAAGCAUCUUGCACCGGAUGUUCGAUUCCUCGACUUCGCAGCCGAUAUGCUUUACUACUGUAUCUAUGACGUAAAGGCGAACACCGCUGUAUGGCACUGGUUGCAGGACCACGAAGAUUACCAACUGUCCGACCGAGACAACUACAUCAAGAACUGGUUGUCGCCGAUUCAGUUGGAGAAGAAGGUUGCAGAGAUCAUCACCUAUCAGGAGCACCGUGGCUUCGUACUGAACGUGGAACUCUGCGAAAAGGCUGUUAAGGACUUGGAUGCUAAGAUGGAAGAACGCCGGGCCCGGGUAGAGCCUGUGCUGCCUCCACGCCCUGCGACCAAGAAAUUCAUGGCAGACUACACUCCGCCUGUCCGGCAGUUCAAGAAGAACGGGGAGAUCACAAGCUACCUCCAGAAGUUCAUUGAAAAGAUCGGCGCUCAAUUGAAAGAGGGCGAUGAUCGGACUAUGAUCUUCGAGGGCAAAGAGUACAAGCUGCCUCUUCCGGCAGACGUACCUCUGAAAACGGAGAUGCCUGCUAAGAUUGGAGAUACAACCCACAUCAAGCAGUGGCUUAUGGGCGAGUUCGGUUGGAUUCCCUCUGAGUGGAAAGAGACGGACCUCACUGUCGACCAGAAGAAGAUCAAGCUUCCGAUGGAAAACAUCGUUGCUAAGAUUGACCGUUGGUUGGAUGUGACGUACAGCACAGCGUACAAGGAAGAGCGUCUGGACGGGUUCGGGGAUUACAUGAAGAUCACUCCUCGUAGCACCCGAGCUUAUGUACGUCAAAGGCUGAUUGAUCGAGCCAGUAAAGGCGGUUGUAAGGUUCUCACAAACCCGAGUUUCACCAAGGGGCAAGAGAAGGAAAUGUGCCCGGACCUCGAACGCAUUGCUGAACAGUUCCCGUUCGCCAAGGAUGUGAUUGAGUACCUGACGUUCAAGCACCGUCGAAGCGCUAUUCUCGGUGGUGGCAUGGACUGGGAUGAGAUGGAAGAAGGCGAAGAGCCGGAGAAAGGCUACCUUGCAAGUAUUCGUCAGGAUGGACGUAUUCCCACUCCUGCUGACACUUGCGGGGCUGCUACUAGCCGGAUGAAGCACCGGAAGGUUGCUAACGUUCCUCGGAUCACCUCGUUGUACGGGGCUGAGCUUCGAGAGUUGUUUGGGGUUGGAGAUGGGUUCUUCCAAAUUGGAUACGACUUCGAUUCCUUGGAAGCACGUAAAGAGUCGGCCUACUGCGAUCAGUACGAUCCGACAAAGGAAUAUUGCAAAUCUCUUAUGAUGGAGAAGCCAUUCGACGUUCACACGAUGAUGGCUAAGCGUAUUUCCGAGAUUAUCGGUCGUCAAUUUAACCGAUCUCCUGCGAAAAACGUAAAAUACGGGUGUACGUACGGUGCUCAAGCUGGUAAAGUGGCAAAAACCAUUGGUGCCGAUUUGCAAACGGGUCAACUGGUAUUCGAUGCGUUCUGGGAUGCAGCAUUCCCAUUGAAAGCACUGAAGGAUGACCUAACCAAGCAGUGGGAAGCCAACGGUAAGAAGUAUAUUGUUGGAGUGGACGGUCGCCGAGUUCCUACUCGUUCAGCUCACGCUAUCCUGAACAGCUUGUUCCAGAGUGGCGGUGUUAUCUGUGCUAAACGUGCUAUGGUGAUUCAUGACCAACUGCUGGAGAAAGAAGGUCUGAAGGUUGACUUUUUCAAAGAAGACUGGAAGAACAAGCCUGAAUUCUGCCAACAAAUGAUCGCGUACCACGACGAAGCGCAGUUGGAAGUAACCGCCAAGUCGGUGAGCUUCAAGAUGUUCCCUUGGUCCCUAGUAGGCGGCAAGCCGGAAGGGGAGAAGGAGCGAGAGGCAGCCGAGAAGGAGUUGAAAGCUCUUGCUCAGGCUUAUAAGGAUGAGCAACUGGCGACCACAGGCAAGGUGUGGAGUGAUAUCGCACACUACAGCAAAGGCGAAGGUGGAGUGUUUGUAGCCUACUGCCGCGCUGGAGAACUUGCCACUAAGGCUGUCGGUGCUGCCGGGGAGUUCUACUCUACGCCGUUGGUGCCCAUUGAACUGACCGCCGGCUACAUCGUUGGUCGCUCUUGGAAGGACUGCCACUAAUCUGGCACUAAGCGAGGAAAGGGGCUUGACAGGCCCCUCCGCCUCCUAUACAAUGGCCACAUACUCACGACACACAGAGGAGAAAAACUCAAUGACUCUAGCUUUUGUUAUCUAUCUCGUUAUGACCGUAUUCCCAGCCUUGUAUUCGGCAGGGAGUUUUACCUUGAUCGUUACUAUCAUCGCGUGGGUUGCAGGAGGGUUUGUUUACUUGGUAUCGAUUGGUGGCCGAGAAAAUGAGGCAGUUAAAGCUACACUCAAAAAUCACCUCCGGCCCUUGACAUUCAAGCUGUUUCUACCUAUCAUUGUAAUCGGCCAUCUAGUCCCCUCGUCUGAAACGGCAUGGUGGAUGGUUGGCGGGUACGCUGCACAGAGCCUCUAUCAAGCAGACGCUACUCAGCAGGUUCUCAGCGAAUCUACUGAACUGCUCGAAGCUCUGGUUAAGCGGGCUAAGAAAGAAACUCUGAAGGCUGUUGAAGGCAGCAGCGAGUAAUCUACAGAAUAGGAGGUAUGGUAUGAACACGGCUCGACUCUACGUCUACGGCAAAUCGUCCAUGGUAGGAAUCACUGUUGACAACAAGGCUAACCGAGAGUACUAUACCUCUAAAGGCUUCGAGGUAUCGGAGACACCGUUAGCACACAAGAGUGUUGCUAACAAAUACAAACAGAAAGGAGGUAAAUAAUAUGUCUGGUAUUAUCCCCGGGACUAUCGUCAAACUCACUCAAGUGGGAUGUGACGUCACCCAUGGCUGGCCAAAUGAAGCCCGCUAUGUAGGCGCAUACGCAGUAGCAGUAGAUGGACGUGAUAUCGGACUUGCGGGAGAUCAAAUCCGGUUCUGCUCCCUCCACUGGUCCAUUGAGCGAGAUGUUAAUGAUGGACUCGGAGACUACCAAAUGCUGUUAGCGGAUGCAGGCCGCUACGAGAUUGUAGCAAUCCCGGGUAAGAAGUACUACGUUAAGAACGUUGCCAAGCACAGCGCACAGAUCGGCCAUUACUUGGUUCCUUCGGAGCCAGCCUUGUACGUAGGUUUCGAGCCGUGCUGGCUGAAGAGCAUGCACGAAGGGGAGAGCCCGUUCUGCAUGACUUUUAAAGGACGAGUCGACAUUGGCGGUGAAACCUCUGACGAGCCGCAUUACCAGACCCUCUACCCUGAGCUGGUACUGGAGGAGUUCAAAGAAGAGGUCAAGGUUGAAGCCCCGGUCAACGAAGAGAAGAAAGAAAAGGUUGCAAAGCCCGCUGUAAUGGGUUACGCUGUUAUCGACGUAGACGGAUUCCCGCUUAAGUUCACCAUUACUCGCGAAGAGGCACGGUCCACUAAGCGUUGGUUGGGUGGCAAGGCGGAAGGCGUCUCGAUUGUCAAACUGAUUAAAGGAGAGGAGGUGCGCUAAUGCGCUAAUCCUCUUGCAGAAUCCGGGAAUGUCCGGUAUGAUCGUCGGUCAAGUGGCUGACACACUCGCCCAGUCUAGGGUACUUAAAUAGGAGAAAUAAAAUGGCUUUUAAACUGAACGUAACUACCAACACUCAAUCCGGCAACGGCGGCAUCCGCAAGGAAGUCGAUUGGGAUGCUCUGAACAACCACGUCGUGGAAGCUGCUGGCACUGCCGCUAAAGCACGUUCGAUCCCGGGUUAUAUCUCCGGCAUCAUCGACCUCGGCGAGCAAGAGCAGAACGAUGCAGAGGUUGUGUUCACUGGCACUUCCGAAGAUGAAAUCCAAAUCAUCAAGGAAUACCCGAACACUUACUUCAAGGACGGACUGGACAAGCAGACUCGUAAACCGGUACGUCUGAAGUGCUGGCCGCAGCGCGAUAUGCAACAAAUCGCGAUCACUGUGGACUUCCCUCAGAUCGAGGUGGACAAGAGCCUGUACCUGACCGGUAACAGCAACAAAUCUCCGCUUCGUGUCCUGUACAACGGCGACUUCACUCUGCCGGGUCAGAAGACUAAGAUUGUUGGCCGUCCGUUCACCAUCAAGGAAGUGAAGCAUCCGAACGGUAAGUGGGCGUUCGCUAAGAACUCCAUGCUGCACAAACUGGCUGUAGCUACUGGCGUCAUCAACGAAGACGAACUCUUCACCAAGGACCGCGUAGGCGAGCUUCUGGGUAAAGUGGCUCAGUUCCAAGUUCGAGUGUGGAUGAAGCCGGGCAAAAACGACAUGAAAUUCCUCACCGAGGAUAUCAGUCUGGUCGGUAUGGUGCCUGAAGGUGUUCCGGUCCCUGAACUGGAUGAGAAGUACAUCUACGGCGUGAACCUGUAUGGUGAGAACGACGAAGAGGCAGUUAAGCAACUACGUGCUAACGUCAUCAACACCAUCAAGCGAGCCAAGAACUAUGAAGGUUCGGAUAUCAAGGCGAUGAUCGAAGCUGUUGAAGCUGCACGCGGCGGCAACCGUUCCAGCGGUGACAGCGAGGAACAAGCUGAAGCCAAAGAGCAGACUAAAGCUGCUCCUAAAGUUGAGCCGGUUCAGACCAACGUCGAUGACGACAUUCCGUUCUAAGGUUACGCGGAAGUAGAGGUAAUAGAGGGGCUUCGGCCCCUCCCUUUCAAAUUUCAAAGGAGGUAACACAUGCAAAUCAAUCUCGGUCCUAUUUUUCUUCUGGCUGCCAUCAUUCUGUGCGUACUGAAGUCUGCCGGCGUACUCGCUAUCUCUUGGACUGUGGCACUCAUGCCCAUCUGGAUUCCUCUUGUAAUUGUAUUGUCGAUUCUCGUACUGUUUCUUGUAAUUGUAGGUCUGAUUUACGCAUUCGGUGAUCGUAGUAAACUGAACUUUAGCUUUAAAAAGCACUUCCGGAAUAAGUGAGGACUAAUGAUGAGUAGUUUGGUUAUUGUUCGAGUACCUGAGUACAUUCUAAAAGGUCCCACAGUAAACAACCAGUUCAGCGGUGACCUGUGGGAGCGAAAUCUCUUCAAAGAUUUGAAGAACGCUGCGGAGUGUAUCAUUAAAGGAGAGCCGGCUUAUGUUGCUCUUCCUAACAAGGUAAACCCUGACACUCUACAAACAGAGUGGGACAUUCAGGUUGUGCAGUUCUAACCCAAGGGGAGCUUCGGCUCCCUUUUUCAUUGGAGAUAAAAAUGAGUGAAAAGGAAGAGGAUAUUGUCCUCAUUGACGGCGACCUGAUCGCCUUUAAGUGUGCCAGUGUUAACGAGACUCGCUCUAUCAUCGUUAAAAACAAAUUGACAGGGGAAGAAGAGACUUGGAAGAAUCGGACGACUUGGCGGGAGAAUAACAAGGAUGAAGAGGGGUUCAACGAAGACAACUUCGAAAUUGAAGACCAUCAAGACCCCAAGCACGUAUCCUACGGCAUCUCUGUCGUCAAGACUAUGAUCGACCGAAUCUGCCGACAAGCCGGAUGUAAGCAGUUCAAGAUUCUCCUAUCCGGUCCUGACAAUUUCCGUGAUUCCAUCCCCCUCCCGAAAGAGUACGAGCUAACCAAGGGUAAAAAGACAUUCACACGCGGUGGUCGAUAUAAAGGCAAGCGUACAGGUCAGAUUAAGCCUCUACAGCUAGGUCAGCUAAGGCAGUAUAUGAUUGAAGCGUAUGACACCAUCAUCCACCCCGGCGAAGCGGAUGACUUGAUGGCGGAGAUGAUGUAUAAGAACGGCGUAAGCUACUCCAGAGGGGAGACCACUCAGCGCGUGAUCGGAGCUACCAUCGAUAAAGACGCAGACGGCACUCUAGGAUGGCUUUGUAACUACGAACGUGAGCCUGUUCAAGUCAAGUUCAUUUCAGGCCUAGGAUCGCUCUACAGAGACUCUAAAGGCAAGGUUAGAGGAGAGGGUAGGAAGUUCUUCUACUUCCAGCUACUAUUCGGCGACCCUGUUGACUGUUACCGUCCGGCUGACCUGUGUAUCGGGAAGGACUUCGGGGAAGUGGCAGCGUAUAACAUCAUCAAUCCCUGCGCAACGGACAAGGAGUGCUGGCAAGCGAUCUACGACACCUACAAAGCGUGGUAUCCUGAGCCUGUCACCUACACGGCGUGGGACGAUACAGAGCACACUAAAGACGCUGUAGAGAUCAUGCAAAUGUACUGCGACUGUGCCCAUAUGCAACGCUGGGCGGGAGAUAGAGUAGACUGUAGGGCUGUUCUGGCUAAACUCGGGGUAGACUUAGGAGGUGCAGAAUGAGUGUAAGGCCUCGCCCUUGGGAAGACUUCCCGGGCAUCUGGAAGACCGAAGCCGCGUUCUUGAGUUGGGUCAGAGGUGGCAUUCGCCGCUACCUCUGGUCUAAGAAUCCCGUCAAAUUGGAGUUCGCAAAGUCUAGAAGGGUCAAAAUAGUCAACACCAAUGAAAAGAGCAAGCUCCGUAAUCCCACUGUAUGGGGCUAUGUAUGCGAGCAGUGUGGCAAGGAGACCCCUCAGUCUAACGUCGAGAUCGACCACAAGACCGGAGAAUUCUCACUGAAACGUGUAGAGGAUAUCCAAACCUUCGUAGAGGGCGUGGUGUUCGUGCGAAUGGAGGACUUGGCUGUCCUGUGCAAACCGUGCCAUGAGAUCAAGACCUAUGCAGAGCGCUACGGACUGACCCUAGAGGAAGCAGAUAUCGUAAAGCAGGCUAUUGCAAUCCAGAAGCAAAAGGGGUAUGAUAAGGUCUUCUUGCAGGAGGUGGGAAUCAAGCCUGCAUCCAACGCAUCACUGAGAAAAGAGCAGAUCAUAGAUUACCUUAAGGCUAAGAAGGAGGGCGGAUGAACGAGGACCGGGUAUACAUUGCAGUGAGAGACGACGCACCAGAAUACAUGGUGCCGACUCUCGUCGCCCACAGCAUCCUAGGGGCUGAUCGUAAUGCUCAGCAGAGAUACAGAGCGCCGCGAUUCCCUCCUCUAGAUGAGCAGGUAGAAGCAGAGGAUAUGUUCACCCGCAAGUGGAUCGCAUGGCUGGAAGAAAGCUUCCGUAAAGUCGUUGUACGCGUCUCUGACAAAGAGUACAACAAAAUCAAGAGAAUCCCGUUCGUAUAUGAGGGAUAUGAGAAAACCAUUUGCAACGGAGAGGGUUCUUGUCUAGUAGUGCCUCCUCUUAGCAAGGAGGAAACCCCGAAUGUUCUUAAAUUUGCAAAACUAUGGAGGCCUAUGUGAGAGAGAAGUUUAUUAAAAUCAUGCGAAAGCUGCCAAUCAGAGUACGAGCUUCUAUCGUCCUGAUUUGGAUUGCUCUGUUCUUUUGGCUGCCGGUUGUAACAGCACUCGUCGCCGGAGUUAUAGACUUCUUCUAUACCGCAAAGGAUCAGUUCAAAGAGGGCUACUCCGUCUACUUCGAUGCCACACAGGGUGCGUGUUAUUGCAUUAAAACAGGAAAGGAGUUAUGACUAAAUUAGCUACAUAUGUUAUUCGCCACAAAAAGACUAAAGAGCUUUGGACUACUCCUAAAGGAAAGAGGCAAUGGGCUACGAAAGGGGCUGCGGCCCUAGCUUGGAGAAACGCUUAUGAGGGAACUACACUGGGCGUAUACGUUGCUAAAAGGGACACGGAGCGAUGGUCCGACUUGAACAUUCCUAUGAUAGUGGAGAAUGGGUGCUACCGUUUGGCUAGCCGAGAGGCCGCAGCUUUCAAGAGUCAAUCUGCUUUCGAGAUUAUCGAUAUAGCUGAAUCUCUGAAGAAUGAGAAUCAAUUGGUACUCGACUUGCUGAAAGACGUUAUCGGAUUUGAAGUGCCAGACUCCGUUGGAGACGGAUACGUUCGUCUAACUAUUAAAACAUCCACAUAUGAUGAUAUCAUCAAACUACUGAAGGAGACGAAAUGAGCAUGAUGGACCCUAAAGCAUACUUCAUCAAACAAGACCUAGAGGAAGCCACAAAGCUCCUUGAGAGGGCUCUCAAUCUACUCGACAACGUUCAUUGCUAUGAUACAUAUGUAUAUGAGGAUAUUGCAGCGUUCCUUUACGGUCGAGACUGCGAGGAGGCAGAGUAAGGUGCAGAAAGACAUUAGGAAAACUACAUCGGAGCUUCGAGAUUUGUGUGAAGCUGUCUCUAUGCUAGACGAGGCCUUGGUUAUGAUGCAGAAAAACGGGCUUUAUGAUACAGACUUGUACAAGCGCAUAGACGCAUUUUUGUACUACCAGCCGGGAGAAGGUGAAUGGGAGGUUCUUGAAUGAGUAGCAAGAAACACUUUGUAAUUUCUGACACUCAGUGCAAACCGGGUAUCAACUUGGACUACAUGGAAGCUAUCGGUAAGUAUAUCGUAGCCAAACGUCCAGAUGUUGUGAUCCACAUUGGAGAUCACUUCGACCUAGCUAGCCUGUCGUCCUACGAUAAGGGUAAACGAUCCUCUGAGGGGCGUAGGUACUCUGAAGACGUUCAAGUCGGACGUGAGGGUCUGGACCGACUGUUCAAGCCUCUGUGGGAGCUACAGGAGCGUCAGCGGGCUAAUCGGAAGAAAGUGUACCAACCCCGACUGAUCUUUACACUGGGUAACCACGAAGAGCGAGCAGACCGGGCUGCUAAUGACAACCCUGAGUUGUAUGGCACCGUAGGCAGCGAUGAGCUUGGUAUUCAGGACUACGGUUUUGAGGUUGUCCCGUUCCUCAAGCCCAUUGAAGUAGACGGAAUUUACUACGUCCACUACCUGCAAAACCACUUCACUGGUAAGCCUCUGGGUGGUACAGCGAACAACAUGCUCAAGGCUGCUGGUCAUUCGUUUGUCAUGGGCCACCGUCAGCUUCUGGACUGGGCGAUCCAUCCUACAAUCGACGGAAAACAAAGACUUGGCAUUGUGACUGGAGCGUGCUAUCCUCACGAUGAAGCCUACAAAGGCUAUCAGGGCAACAACCACUUCCGUGGCUGUGUUAUGAUUCACGAAGUGAAGGAUGGUUUUGGUCUACCUAUGCCAGUAAGUCUGGACUUCAUGAUGGAGAAAGGAGGUUUCAAAUGACGGUUUAUAAAUUCUGGUGCGAAUGGGAUAUCGGUAUUAAUGAAUGCCUGUGGCGAGACUACUACCAGAUGGAAGAGGAUGUAGCUAAAGCCUUGUCAGACUGCGGGAUUGAGGAUACCAUUGAAGAACUAGAGGAUGCAGGCCUGCUGGGCUUCGACUCUGUUAAAGUAAUUGGGUAAUCGGCUAAGUAAAAUAAAGGAGGAUGUAUGGCUGAGUUUUUCCUAGGAGUAAGUCUUGCCGCCCUGUUCUUCAUGUUCUCGGGAGUAACAAUGACUUAUGAGUCUGUCGAGAAGAUAGCUACAGCAUGUGAACAGAAUGAAGGGGUUAAGCAUUUCAAUGUUGACUUCUUCGAGAACCGCACUGUAAAAUGCAAUAACGGCGCGAUUUUUGAAAUCGACCGUAAAUCUAAAUAAUCUGAAAGGAGAUAUAAAAUGACUGAUUUCAACAUCACCCACGAGCAAAUGGAAGAAGCAAUGGCCGGUAUGAACCCGGAGCAGCGGGCUCUGGUAGAGAAAGCCUUGACCGACCGUAAAUCUCUGGAAGACUCCAUCGUCACCGAAGAUGGUGAACUGGACUACGGCAUGCUUGCACAGCACAUCCGCACCAGCUUGGGUGAUCUGCCUCUGGUAAUGGGCGGCCCUGACUUCCUGAAGCUGAUGAUCUUGGUUGCUGCGAUGCCGGAGACCAAAGACGAUCUCCUGACUCUGCACAUGAACCUGUCCUUCAUUCUGGACUGCAUUCGUGAAUCGAUUAGCGACGAGGAGUAACAAGUGACCGAAGAGAUUGUAAAAGAAGACCUAUCUGGCGACGAUCUCAUGGUUGACUCAGCAGGGCUAGAUGCCCUGCUGGCCUUCCUAGAGAGUCAGUUUAAAGGUCCGAAGGGUGUACUGAAGGGAUAUGUCACUAUGAGAGUGAUGUGCGCUAAGAUUGAGAGCCUUGACGGGUUUCAAGAGUUGAAAGAUAUGGAGGUGAACUUUGAGUAACGAUAUCAUCGACGUUCAUGCUGGGCAACCGAUUUCUCUGGUGCAACGGUCAAAGAAUCCUAUCAAUAUUCAAUAUUGGGAUGCCGAUACCAUUCCUCACGGUACGGUCUUGGUUGUUACCGAGAAAAGGGGCGAUAUCCAAAAGGGAGAGUUGGUCGUAAGGUUGGCUAGUAGUGCAGAUGAUGAGCACUCUGUUAAGGUAUGUAGAUUCUCUGAUUUCCUCCUUCUGAUGGAGCAGGGCUACAACUCAGCUAGCCUUAGCGACGUUAGUCAAGCGUAUGACGUUCUGUUCGAAGACCCUCCGGCGACUACCUUUGUCAACUGGGACCGGGCUCAGCCUUUGACAAACAGUGAGCGCUACUACGGAGACUUUCUGAUUGGCGGCGACCCUAAAGGGAUGCCACUAUUCAACAUGGCUGUUCUUAAAAAUGUUCUGUCGCCUUACACUGCCGACGAUGAGGAACUUUCAGCUAUGACCGGGAAUCCCGAGACAGUAGAGCACAAAGAAGUUGACGAACUAAGUGAGAGGGACGAGGCUUUAGCCGAGGUCGACAGACUCAAUGAAGAGCUUGUUGCACUGGGUAAGAAGGUUGUGUUCGCCAACCUAGAAGAUUACCUAGGCAAAGAAAACUAUGCCACAUUGGAAGCUAUGGCUAACCACAAGGAGGCUGUAGGUAGCGGAGGCUCCUCUAGUUACUACACUGUCAAGGUGAACAACCCCACUACGAAGGCUAAUCGAGAGUACUUCGCAGAGUGUAAUGACAUUAUCGAGGCGUUGGAUAUGCGAUUCGGUCAAGGUAAUGCCUUCAAGGCGCUGUGGCGUGCUGCGGCAGCUCAGAACCUAGGCAAGCUCAAGGCCGGCAACGAUGUUAUCCGGGACUACGAGAAAGUCAUCUUCUUUGCUCAGUUGGAGAUCGAUAAGAUUCUCAGAGAAAGGGGUUGACAUUCUCUCUGAGGCUUGCGAUAAUAGGCUCCAAGUUGAAACGAAGGAGGUAUGUAGAUAUGAUCCAGAAAGUAAAACAGAAGCUUAUGAUGGUGCAUCCUAUCCUCGCUAGCGAGAUCGUCUGGUGCCUCACCUUCGCAAUGCUUCAAUAAGAUAAGGGAGCUUCGGCUCCCUUUAUUGUAUCAAAGAUUUAAUAAGGAGAGUUUAUGCAAAUUUCUGCAAAAGUGAUUCAACACAGUUCCCGGAUCGGCCUAGGUACGAAGAAUCACAGAUUCAUCACUACAUUCGAACUGGAGUAUCCUCGGUUUAUUCACAGUGAACUUAUGACUCACCGACUUUUUAGUCGAAAUGCUGCAAGUAGUCGUGCCAUUCCCGUUGCCCAUAUGAUCCGACAGGUGGAAGAGAGUCCUGCGAUGCCUGUUCACUGGGGAAUGAAUCAACCGGGUAUGCAAGCUGAGUUCGAACUGAGUGAGUGUUUGCAGCGUAGCUCUCAGUACCUGUGGAAGAAGGCUGCAAAGAGUGCGGCUCGGAUCGCUAGCGCACUAAAUAAAAUGGGACUCCACAAGCAGGUGGUUAACCGUCUCCUUGAGCCGUUCCAGAUGAUGAAGACCGUUGUUACAGCCACGGAACUAGAUAACUUCUUCUACCUGCGUUGCCAUAAAGACGCACAACCGGAGAUCAAGGUUCUCGCUGAGAAAAUGUAUGAGGCUCUUAUUAAAGCGGGCCCGGCAGAGGCUCUAUAUGACGGAGAGUGGCAUGUUCCUUAUGUGACUCGGUUCCGCAUAGGGGAUGGUAAGCUGCGUUACGCAGAUUGUAACGGGCAAGAACUGAGCGUAGAGGAUGCUAUUAAGGUAUCUGCUAGCUGCUGUGCUCAGGUUAGCUAUAGGAAGAACGACGAGACUCUGGAGAAAGCUCUUGUAAUCUACAACCGAUUGGUAGAUACUAAGCCCGUUCACGCUAGCCCGUUCGAACACCAAGCAACGCCGAUGCUGGAGCCUCACUUCUGGUGUGGGGAUUGUCAACAACAGCCGGAUUGGGAGGAUGGCGUAACUCAUGCGGAUCGUGAGGGUAAUUUCUGGUCUGGUAACUUCAAAGGUUUCAUCCAACAUCGUCAACUAAUUAAAGGGCAUGUAUGUAAUGAAUACUACGGCCAAGAAGAGGAAGGAGUUUAAAAUGGCAGAAUAUAACCUGAGUCUGGAAGACCUCAUGCUGGUCGAUGGCUUCAAAGAGGCGUUCCAGAGUAACAAUGAGAAGGUAGUAAGGGAGCAUCUGUGGACUAACGGCAUGGAUGUUAAAAACUACUCGUAUGAAAUGGUUUUCUGUCAGCAUCGCACCCUGAUUGGCCGAGUCGUAGAGGGUCUACGAUUCUCUGGCUUUGAGCGUACAGACAAGGAGUGGCUGAGCCUCGGUUGCGCCUCUCUGGAAGCUCAUAUUGCAGCGUGUGAUGAUAGCAAUCUACGGUUCACUCUUCGCAAAAUGCGUCCAGAGGGAUCGACAGAGGCAACGUUUCACAAUUAAUGCAGUAGCAGUAGAAAUAGGGAGUGGGUAUGGAAGUUACAAAGGCGCUCGUAGACGAGGCCGAUAUUUUCAAUAAGAUCACACAAAUCAGGACUCCAACGGAGUCCUAUGCCCGGAAGUACCCGGUCAUUGUCGAACUAGCAAACCAGCAACUAGAAGAGAAGUUGUGGUUCUCUAGCGAAAUGAAGGUAGAGCUGGAUAAGUUGAACCUGAAGUUCAAGUUGGAACCUCAUCAGCUUCACGCUGUAAAGACUGUCCUUCAACUGUUCCUCAAAUACGAACUGAUCGUAGGCGAGGAGUUUUGGAUGGGUAAAGUAGUCCGCACGUUCCCUCGCCCAGAGGUUAAACUAGCGGCUUCGAUCCUGUGCAUGAUGGAAUUGGCAGUCCACGCUGAAUUCUACAACCAGAUCAACGUAGUGCUGGGGAUGGAUACAGAUGCGGACUAUGUAGCUUACAAGGACGACCCCGAGCUUAUGGGUCGGAUGGACUGGCUUGAGUCUGUUCUAGGCGAUGAGGACGAUGUUCUUUCGGUAAUUAUCUUCAGCCUAACAGAGACUGCCCUUCUGUUCAGUUCUUUCGCUAUCCUGAAGAGCUUCCAGUGCAACGGGUAUAACGAUAUCCCUGUCAUCGCACGCGGGGCUAACCAGAGUGCUGUGGAUGAAGACUUGCACGGUGUAGUUUCGGCUGAGAUCAUCAACCAAUACUACGCAGAGAUUGGUCGACCAUUGUCUGAAGAUACUCGGCGUGUCGAGAAGAUUCGACAAGCUAUCGACCAUGUAUAUGCUCAUGAAUGUCGUAUUGUCGAUAUGGCGAUCCCGGGCGGAGAACUUAACGGCGAGUCGGCUGAAAACUAUAAAGCGUUUGUUCGUUAUCGUUUGAACGUAUGGUGCCGUCGUCUGGGUCUGGAAGAUCAUUUCGAGAACGAUGACACUCCGAUCAAAGAUUGGUUCGAAAUGAACACGUACGCUUACAAAAUGAUUGACUUCUUUACUCCGGGAAUGGGCAUGGAGUACGAACUGGGGUGGGACGAAGAAGAAAUGGCAAAAGCUUGGGAAGAGGAGCUAAAAUAUGAGUAAGAGAGACACAUUCAACUAUUCCGAAGCUAGGAAAAAUAGCCAAGCAACCGGCGAGACUCCUCUAUGGUAUACGACGGCUGGCUACCAGUUGUUCAUGAAGAAGUAUUCGAACGAGGGCGAGUCUGUACGCUCUCGCUUCCAAGCUGUAGCUCGCGCUAUGGCUCAACAUGCUCCUAUGGUAUACCCGGAGUGGUGGGAUCAGGACGAGUACACUAAAGGUAAGAACUGGGAGCAGGUGUUCUUCGACGUUAUGUGGGAUGGAUUUGUUAGCCCAUCUACGCCGCUUCUGUCGAAUGGAGGCCUCCGUAAAAAGGGCACUACGGUGUCUUGUGCUGGCGGUCUGAUGGACAACAACCUCUAUGACCGUUACAAUGUAAUGACAGAGAUCGCAGUGCUAACGAAGCACAGCCAUGGCACAAGCUUUAGCCUGACCAACUGGCCAUCAGAAGGAGACGCUAUCCGAGGCGGUGAGUCUCAAGGUGUGAUGCCUGUCAUUCGGGACGUUAUCAACGUCAUGGAAGAGGUAGCACAGGGUUCUAGGCGUGGUAGCUGUGCAUACAGCAUCAACCCCCGCCAUGGAGACUUCUGGAACGUUAUCGAUCACCUGUAUAAGCGCACAGAGUCGAACAACGUCGGAUGGCUUCUAGACGACCAGUGGUGCAAGGAUAUGGCCGAGAAAGACCCGGAGACCUUGAAGCGAUGGAAGCGAAUGAUGUUCGUCAAGCUGGCCAGAGGAAAAGGCUACUUCACGUUUAUCGAUAAGAUGAAUCGGCACCUUGCAGAACCGUUUAAGCGGGCGGGUCUACGCUGCGAAGCGUCCAACCUUUGUCAAGAGACUGUUCUCCCGGCAAACGACUGGUAUACUUUUAGCUGCGUUAUCCUGAACUACAACCUCGAACUUUACCGUUCUUGGCCUAAGCACCUUGUGUUUAUUGGUCAGGUUAUGUCUGAUUGCAACAUCAGCGAAUACCUAGCAACCAUGGAUGAGGUCAGCGUUCAGGACCGCCGAGCACUGGAGAAGAUUUACCGAUUCACCAAGGACUUCAGGGCGCUUGGCAGCGGUGUUCUAGGGUUCCACACCCUGCUACAGCGGGAGCGAUUCCCGGUCGGUAGUAUGGAUGCUAUGUUCCUGAACAACGCCAUCUUCAAGGGUAUGAAGGAGCAAGCUGAGGCUUGCAACAGUUGGCUAGCCGAGGUUCUAGGAGAGCCAGCGGGGUGCCGUGGUCUAGGGAAGCGUAACGCCACUACAAUGAUGAUGCCGCCAACUAAAUCGACGGCUGAACUCAUGGCGGGGGCCUCUGAGGGUAUCGGGCUGGACGUGGCUAUGUGCUUCACAAAGCAGAGCGCUGGAGGUGAAUUCUUCCGUGUCAACAAGGUGCUUCUGGAGAUCAUCCAAGAGCGAGGCCUUGAUUGGGAAGAGUGCGCUAGACAGAUCAACGAACGUAAGGGGAGUGUUCAGCACGUAGACUGGUUGACUGACCACGAAAAGGCUGUGUUCCGUACUGCCUUUGAGGUGAGAAUGGAAGACUACCUGCGUCUGUGCUCUCAGCGGCAGAAGUACAUCGACCAAGGUCAGAGCAUCAACCUGUACUUCACGUCGAACGACUCGCCGGCUUACAUUUCGUACAUCCAUCGUCUCGCCAUGGAAGACCCGAACAUCCUAUCUUUGUACUACAUCUACAGUAUGAGAGGAGCGGGAGAUAUCUCCAGAACAGAAGAAUGUGAAAUGUGCAUGUAAAAUCAUUGGCCCGGGGCUUGACAGCUUCCGGGCCUUUGUGUAUUCUGAGCACAUCAAAACAAGGAGGGACUAAAAUGAACAAAUUCUCUGAAGUGUACUACACUUGGAGCGCAGCGUGCUCUCGUACAAAUAUCUUGAUAGAUAUGGGAUGGACUGCUACAAUCCGUCGAGACUUCACUGGCGGGAUCAACCCUGUAUGGGUUGUGGAGUUCACGCGAUGAACAGCAAACUCCGCAAAGAGUUCGAUAAAUGGUGGGGACAGGACGAGCAAGAAGAACUUCGUAAAUCCUGUGCCAAAGGAUGGGCGGAAUAUAUCUGGAUGGCUAGUCGAAGAAAAGUGAGUGUUGAGCUUCCCGCGCCAGAAGGCGGAUUUAUCGACAUCCAAAAGUACACAAUCAAUCGCUGCAAAGAAGCUAUCCGCGAAACAGGACUGGAGGUGUUUUAAUGAAAGAAUAUUUUAAAAAGCGACUAAUGCAGACCAGUGAACCGUUCGAUUCAGCGACGCAAGCUAUGGACGUAGCGAUUGCGUGGGGAGGGGCUAAGUACUGCGAAUUCACUUGCGUAACUGCGGAUAAUCGCGUCAUCAGCAUCUGGGAGUACAAUGACGUAGAGCCUGAUAAACCGGUAUUCAAUGGACAGCAACGAAUCUUAGUUCCAACUUUUGAGGAGGUAGUAUAAUGGAACAAACUAUUGAUAAAUCUCGGUAUAUUGUGCUUGAUAACGAAGGUCGGCACGUUCUGACCUUGUGCGAGAAGGCCGCCUAUAACCUGCUUAAAGGCGUUCAGUGGACAAAGGACAAGCAUGGUCAAAUCCAUGUAAAUGGUGUCACAGGCGUUGAACUCGGAGUUCGUCAAGGGAUUAUCGCUGAAGUAUUCCUGUAUCCGGGCUACAUCAUCCUAGAAGAGGUAGACUAAUGGAUAUGUUCGAUAAAUACAUGCAAGUUAUGUAUGACCGGGACGCUUUCUCAAGGCGAGUCGGUGAGUUAGAAAAAGAGGUAGCCGAACUCAAGGCUAAGGUGGCUAUCGCUAAGUGUGAUAUGCGUGUCGUGAAAACCCUACUGGAAGAUAUCCAAUGGGUGUAUCAAGACGAAGCUAUCUAUACUCUACCGGGCUACGUUUGCCCUUGUUGCGGGGAAUCUGCAAACUAUGGGCAUUUCCAAGGCAGCUUCGAUAAGAGCCCCUGCCUACUAGCUUGUGUACUGAGCCGGAGUGAAGCGUAUGAAGCCUAAUGUUGUAGACUCGCUAGGCAUUAACAUGUGCUACGCCUGCGGAGGUAAACUGUACGUCCGAGGAGUAUGCACUAUCUACUGCCCUGAUUGCGAGAAGGCAACGAAAGAUAAACCGUUCGUCAGGAUGCAGCUUCUACAGGAUAUCGCAGACAGCAAGAGGGUUGACAACGAAUAGAAGUGCUAGUAAGAUGGCCACAUCAGACAGAGGAGGAGCCAUGGCUACAACAGAGAAGAUCAUCGAGUAUGUCUCGGCCUGUAUCGAACGCUUGCAAGAGGACGUAACUGGGUACUCGGAGAACUUCCGUGACAGGGCGUUAUCUAAUCGCACAGGGUAUAUUCACGGGCUUAUCACUAUGGCUGAAAUGAAUGAGCAAGUGAGUAUAGAGGACUGCGACAAGCUCCGUGCAAAGCUUCGUGAAGCUGCUGGGGCUGUGUUGAACGUACUGGAUUCCAAAAUUAACUAGGAGGUGUUCUGAUGAAUAUGAAAGAGAUUAUGCAGGCUUUGAUUGUCGUUGUCGCUCUGACUCUCGCAGCAAUAGGUUUUGUAGUCGGGAUUACUGCAUUGGCCAACAAGAGCGCGCCUGCCGAGGAUAUUGUCGUGUCUACUGAAGACGGCACCAUCAAUCUCGGUCGCUCCGUGAAGAGCGAGAAGCUGCUGUAUAGCAUGUGCAUCAAGGUAGAAGACCGUAAACCUGCUUGUGAAUUCACCACCAAGGACCGUGUUCUUAGCGAAGUGAAACAGGUUAUGCGCCCGGGCGAGGCUACGGCCCGCGAUAUUAAGAUUGCAGUAAACGCGGCUGUGACGUAUACUGGUGAGAACGGGCAGGAAGCAACCUCUCUGAUUACCCCGAAAGGUAAGUAUCUCCCGGCUGGCACCCCGUCUGAAGUGCAUAUUCAAGAGAUUGCAAAUUUGUUCGAUAGCGUGUACAAUGACUACAAACAAAACUUCAGCAAGAUGUGAGGAGGACUCAUGAAAGCACAGCCUAAAGAAGUAGAAACCCUGUCCCUCGACAAGCGACCCAAGGCAGGUGAUGUUGUUCGACUGCGGUCUGACGGUAAAACCUACGAGGUGAAUGCUGUAUAUCCCACAGCAGUAGGCUGGGAAGCGAUUCUCCGCAACAUGUACGACAAGACUAAGACCGUCACUGUCAGCAUGGAGUGGUGAAAUGGCAAGAACCGUCAAGUGCGUAAACUUCCUACCUGUCACGCCGGACGGUCGAGUAAUCGUCCGAUUCGGCAAGAAGAGGCUAGGCUGGCUUGGUAAACAGGGUAAGAAGUGGCAUUACUACCCUUAUGGAUGCGAAGGCAAGAUUAAAUCAGAGGGGUUUAAAACACUCGCUGAAAUCAAGGCUUGGAUUCGAGACCCCGAUGCUGUCUGGCCCGGUCCAAAGCCUGAGAUUGACUAAUUAGCCGACGAAUGGUACAAUGGUAUGUAGGAAAUUCCCUACUCAAUAUAAGGAAACUAGCAAUGACUAGCCGCUGGAAAGAGGCCGUGUAUCGUAAGUACUCGGUGCGUCGUCUGCGGCAGGAACUCGAAGAGUUCAAAGAAGCUAGACGCUUUGCACCAAACCAACGCAUCCGUGCAUGGUUUGAUGCUCAUAUCGAAUUUCUAGAACGCCACUUGGCUAUUCGAGAGUCCGGCCAAGCCUACCCAGACGACCUUUGGUAAUUAGGUAAUUAGGUGUGUUGUAGGUAGAGAUUCAAAUCAUGGUUAGUGGCAAGGACGCCACACUUCAGCCCGCCCACAAGGCGGGCUUCUUUUUGCCUGAAAUUUGAGGUUGACAAGGUUGGCCGGAAUAUGUAAACUUGCGGCAUCCAACAAAGGAGGGAAGAAAAAUGCAAUUCAAUAUAUCGAAGCAACUAUGGGUAGCUAAAAGCGAGCGGAAGGGUGACUAUAAAGGGACGCUUUUGGCAUACAUGUCUCAAGUGGACUUCAAUAAAGAUGGUAGCUUGGCUGCCAGCUUCAAGAAAAAGCAGCAGACUGGUAUGAGCUGGGCAGGUAAGAAUGCCGAGACUUGCUUCAUAGACAACAUCCCUAUCUCGGGGCAUUUCAUCGGGGACAGUGUUGAACGCUGGGUCACUGAGAACAAAUAUUUCCGUGUGACGGACCCUAGGGGCUUUGUUCUAGAGGUUCCUACCGGGAAUAUCUCGACCUUGCUCUACAACUGCACAGUAAUCAAGGGAGUUAUUCAAGAGCCUUGCGUGUGGGUGCGGAUGGGUUCUCAGCACGUUCUACUGCCGGAAGGCUCCUCUCUCUACAAAGAAGCUGUAAGUUUCGUAGAGCGAAAAGAGUCGGCCAAAACUGUUAAAGAUAUGGUUGCAGGGGAUCGAUGCACUCUUCUUAGCUACGGGACAGAGGAGAAACUAGAGGCUAUCUACCUCGGACAGGUGAAGAUCACUUGGCACCUCCUAGCUAAAAAGGGCCGGUACUCUAGCCGAGGGUGGGGUGGGGGUCGGUGGGGUUACCACCAUCUAGAGAGGGAACUAGAUAGAAAAGAAUUCACUGAGAAAGAUUCGAAGUGGGUUAGUGUGUUCGCUAAGCCGGUAGGAAAGCGGUGGAGUAUCCAUUUUAUCCUGUCUCCAAAGGCAACCGACAUUCAAUCUGGAAAUGUACCGGAUGAACUUCAAAACCUCGACCUAGUGAAUGGUGUAAAAUGGGAGUACAACGAGAAAGACGACCGCCCAUCUUCCUAUUACUCUGUACCGGAUAGGGUAGUUAAGUGUAUCAGUGUGGAUGAUCCCCUGUGGGAUAAGCUGCACAGCUCUUCGGAGGUGCGGUGGACCCGCGAAUGGACCGUGGUCGGAGCAGAGUGGCGAAAAUAAGCCACCAUUAUUUUAGAAUUGCCCGGCGAGAGCCGGGCUUUUUCGUGGCAGGGGUUAUUUUCAAAUUAUUUUUAGAUUUCUGGGAGUUUCGGCCAAUAUGGGCAAUAUGAAAUUUCUCAGGAAAAGGCUCAGAAUGCUCGUAUAAGAGCCGUUCGAGUGUGGGCAGGGUGAGCUACUACUUAGCCGUAGAAGGACAGUGUAACGCUUAAUAGGAGGGUUAGAAUGAAGAUUGACAACGGUAGCGCGUAUGCGUAUUGGCUAGCGGAUAUGAAAGAGUUUGUUUCUCAGAUGGAUGCCACAGAGAUUGAGAAGAGGGCUUGUAUAGCAUACUUAAUUAGCUGGUAUCAGCGAAGAGUACUGCACAGAAUUAAACGGGAGGAAUACGAGGCGAUCUAAGCUAGGGACCGGACAGAUUUUUAGGGACUGGAUAGAUUUUCACAGGCUGCAAAAUUAGGAACUGGGCAGAUUUUUAGGAACUGGACAGUUUUUCACAGAAGGGGAUUUUUCUACAGAGGAAUUUCCCCUGAAAUUUAGCCGGAUUUCUCAGAAGGGCGGAUCGUUAGCAGGCUAUCUAAUUGGUUAGCAAGCUACCUUUAAUCGUUAGCACACUAACUAAAAAUUCCUAGGACGGACCUCAGUUGGCACGAACGUUGCAAGCCCGCACCAGUUUCCCGGGCAGGCGUAGGCCUCGACUAUCCGUCGUGAAGGCGAUAUGUAGUUGGGGACUCGCACCCCGCGUUUAAGAUGCGCCCAUUCUACUAUGACAAACCCCUUUGUCAACAUUCUUUUUAUGGCACGGGCUUUGCAAUUGCAAUUUACAUGCCAACCUAAAUCUCAGGCUCCCUCCGUGUUUGCCUCCGGUGCUCGGCCUCCUGCCUGCGUUGCCCGCCUGCCUGUCAUUAUACACAAGCUAUCAAGACAAGCAAGAAAAAUUAUAGAGAAAAAUCUACAUAAAACAGGUUGACAGGCCUCCUUUAUAUAUGCACAAUGACCCCACAUUCAACGGAACGGCAGGUAAGCAGCCAUGCUACAUAGUGAAGCCCGGGCGAUGGCCCUACAAGAGAUGGACAAGUGGAGCCUCCUCGAACAAGGUUGGAAAUUCAGUUUCAAUCGCAGGAUGAAACGGACGCUAGGCCGUUGUAAUCACGCUAAAAAGCUCAUAGAGUUAGGUUACAGCUACGUGGCUGCCAAUGGAGUGCCUGCGGUAUUAGAUACUAUCCGCCAUGAAAUAGCUCACGCUAAGGCGGGACCGUAUCAUGGUCAUGAUUCCGUAUGGAAAGAGUGGUGCGGCCUGAUUGGCGCUAAACCUCAGCAAUACGCCAGCACAAAAGAGAAAGUAGUCAAUUUCCCGUGGCAACUGGCGAUUCAGCAUGACUCCGGGCACUUAGAGCGGCUUAACCACUACGGUUUUAGACGGACCAACAUGGCGAAAAAGCAGGUACGCGGGCGUCCUGAGACAAAGGGCAGACUAGUUUGGGUGAAGAGUGAAAAAUAAGGGUUGACAGCUUGGGCCAUUCCCGUAGAAUGGCCCUCAAGCGAGGGGAAUCGCCCUGAGCAACCACGAAGGAAAGCAGAUAUGAAAGCUCUUUGUAAUCAUCGGGCACUCUACGCGGCUUACAAUCGUAGCGAGCUUGAUCGUAUUGCGGUAGAUUUGAACCGCUACUUCCCUAUCGAGAAAGAUGAUGAAUGGGAAGACGGCGCAUACAUGUAUCGUCGCCGCACCUAUCUGGUGAAGCAUUCGAAGGGUACAGCCCGUUGGCACAGCCUUUACUGCAAUGGGACCGUCCAAGGCGUCGGGGUUAUCUUUGACGUGAAAUCGGUCGAACCUUUCCGCACAGCAUAAGGAGAUUCAGAAAUGCAAGCUUGGAACGUAUACCAGAAUGGCCAGUUGAUCGAUACUGUUUUCUUCGAUAUCAUGUGUGCUGCCGAGGAGGUGCGGAAAUCGCUGGUCAACCAUGACGGGUAUCCGUCUGAUAUCACUGUAGAGGAGGCCGAGUAAUGGAUAACCUGUCCGUUAAAAUCGUUCUAUCGGAACUCAGCUACAAAGCCUUGAUUCAAGCCUUCGCCUUGCUUGGCCGAACGCUCGACCUAGACGAGGGGUUGGACGAUAUACUUAAUCUUAUUGCGGAUGAGAUCGCUUUCCGCGACGGCCUGCCGCCUUUCGCAGACGACUGCGAUAAAACAGAAUGGAUGCUCCGUCGAUGGGAAUCGCUCCCGGUGGUAUCGUACAAUAUCGGGCAGGACGGACCGAUUGUCGCUCGGUCUAUCGAAGUAAAAACGGCAUGAGGGGAGAACUGAUGACCGUCAGAGUAGGAGAUAUCGUGGCUAUCCGGGGUGACAUUCGGAAAAAGCUCGACGGAACAUGCCAAUACACGCCCGAACAAUUGGUAGGUGGUAAAUUCCUCAAGCAUGCCGGCACGGGAGAAAUAUGGACUGGCCGAGUGAGUAAGAUACAAGGUGAUAUGGCCAAGGUGGGAGGGGCUUGGCGCGGGAUCGAAUUCUAUGUGCUCAUUAGUGAAAUAAACGCUUGACAACCUGACCCACUAGCUGCAAAAUAGCACCCACAGACAACGAAGACGCCGAUAGGCGAGGAGAAAGCAGAUGCAAAUGUUUUUCAAAACCCGUACCCAAGCCCGCGCCAUGGCAACCAACGGUCGCAAAGUGGUAGAUAACGGGGCUCAAGCUGAAAAGCGCUGGGCUGUCAAGCUGAACAAAAAGGAGGCUAAGUAAUGGCUAAGUCUGUUAGCGUAGACCGCAAGCGAUCCAUUCUAGACGAAGCGAAGGAUGGCAGUUUCUUCAGUGUGGAGUUUAUCAAGGCGGACGGCACCGUUCGGAAAAUGACGUGUAAACGUCAGAUCAAGUCGGCGUAUGCUAACGGCCAGUUUGCUACCCGCAAGCCCACCAGCGCCGGCAAGCCGCACCUGUAUACCGCCGCCGAGGUGCUGAACAUGGAAGAGGGUAAAUCCGCUUUCCGCACUAUCAACCUUGAGACUCUGACCCGUGCCAAGGUAAACGGAAUCGAAUAUAAAUUCGAUUAAAAGCUUGACAGCUUAGGCCAUUCGUGUAGAAUGGCCCUCAAGCAAGACAACAACCUAAGAGGCUAUACAGUGAAACAAGGUACUGAUUUGAUCGCUAAAGCAAAUUUCACCGCCCGACUCCCGGGAGCUAAGCGGGGGAUUUCGGUCAAGCCGGGAGAUAAAUUCUGGGUAACUACUCCGUCCUACAGUAACACCGAUUUCGUAGGCGUAGCGAGGAAAGGCAAAACAACCUCCUACCUUUUCACUGCUAAGGAUGUACAAACUCUUUUCGAAGCAGUAUAAUCUUCAGACCCACUCAACCAACGCUUGACAAUACAGGAGAUUUAAAAUGGCACGUUCUAUCAAGGCUUCCGACUUCGAUUCCGCUUACCAGUUCGAGGCCGCCAAACGUUCCGAACGUAAAGAAUCCCGCAAAUCGCGUGACAAUCGAAAAGCUAGCCGAGGCCGCGCUUUCGACUUCCGCGACGAUAUCUAAGAUUUGCGCCUAGCCGGUGGGCCGAUUCGCCGGCAAUCCUAAGCCCAUUCGUCGAGUGGUUUUAGGAUUCUCAACCCCAGCGGAGAUACCAAAAAUGGUUCGUCAAUGCGUACCCUGUCCCGAUGCUCGCCAUGCUUUUUGCCUUGCAUGGUUGUUCGCCAUGCCGGAGUUCGCCGGUCUGCCCGCUCAAAAGGACAUAAAACUCUUUAAGACUUCGGGACAGUGGGCGGUAUGUUAUGGCUAGGCGUCAACGGCUACCGUCGUGGGUGCAGGACCAGACCGAGGAUGAUACUCCACUCCGGGAUAAGAUAGACCCGUACCUUAGCAAGCUCGGCGAAGUCGAUAAGCUAGAGGGACAAUUGCGACGGGUCAGGGAUGCAACGGACCCGGACGAAUACAACGAAAUGGCUAAGGUACUAAAAGCCCGACGCCGGAAGAUAAUGAAGCAACGUGCCCGGGCCUACGGUCUGCCAGAGGAUGAGCCUACCAAUGUCCGAGGGUACAGCGUACCGGAAGAGGUUCACCGUAGAGCCAUCCUGUUAAGCAGUGUAAAACCUUGGAUGUUCUGGACCAUCCUGUCUUUCUCGAUUUUUGUGUGGUUUGUUUUGAAAAACAGUUGACAAGGUUCCCGCCUCCUGUAGAAUGGUCAGCAAGAAAGGCGGACAGGCCGCCUAGCUAGACAAAGGACAACCAUCAUGAACUUCACUCUCAAUCUCGUUUCCAAAAACAGCAAAACCGGUCCCAUGCCUGUUAGCACGUCUCAUAACGGCACCUGCCCGGAUGCCUGCCCUCUCAAGGCUAAAGGCUGCUAUGCCGCUUAUGGGCCUACUGCUAUUCACUGGAAAAAGCUAAGCAAGGGUGAACGUGGCGUAGAGUGGAAGGAGUUUUUGAAGCAAGUGCGGUCUAUCUCCCGUGGGGAUUUGUGGCGUCAUAAUCAAGCUGGCGAUCUCGUGGGUCAGGAUGACGUUAUCGAUGGGAUCGCCCUGAUGGAACUGGUGAAGGCUAACAAAGGCCGUCGCGGCUUCACCUACACACAUUACCCGAUGAACAAUUUCAUGAACCGCCAGCACGUAUUGUCGGCCAAUCGUAGCGGCUUCACUAUCAACCUGUCGGGCAACAAUGUAGCGCACGCCGAUGAACUGGCCGACCUGAACAUCGCCCCUGUAGUGACUAUUCUCCCGAUGGACGCGGAGAAUGUAAGCUUUACGCCGAAAGGACGUAAAGUGGUAGCUUGUCCGGCUGAGAAAAGCGACAAGGUGAAUUGUAAGUCGUGCGGCUUGUGCCAAGUGGCCAACCGGGAGUAUAUUAUCGGCUUCCGUGCCCACGGCACAGCAAAGAAAACUGUCGAUCUCAUUGCUAAGGGUUAACACAAUGGACGAAUCUGUUUACGCACCAUUCAAUCAGUGUAAGAUGAUGGGCCUAGAACGAACCGUGCGGAGCCUAGCGGCUCCUAACGGGUGCAAGGUAGUCUUGUAUCAGGACCAUAAGAACAAGCAUAGAAUCGUCAUAUACGAUGCCUUAGGGCAUGGAAUGUCUGGGGUCAUGGUGCAAGCGGAUGGGGAAAUUCACUACAAGGAAACCCGCAAGGCUAGCCAAGGGCAAAACCUGACAAGGCAACUACAAGCCCAACUGACCGCAUGGGGAGUGAAGUGGUUUCCCUCUCAGUAUCAGACAACGGCAGGCGCAGCUUGCUACAAAGGAGACUGGUAAUGCGACAGCUUAAUAAAUCCCAGCUAAAGGCCUUGGGGCCUAAGAUCGAUCUAGCUCUAGAGUUAGCCGCGACUGGCCGGGGCGAUCUUAUGAACGGCCACGGUUCCACCUGCUACAUUGCAAACAAAGCUGGACACAACAUCUUGCGGAUCAGCUAUCAUAACUCCCGAUUCGUUGCAUAUGGAGCUGAGAGUGUCAGGGUGACCGGGAAUGUCAUUGCAGCAUGGGUGGAAUGGAAGGGCAUUAACCGGGCUGCAAUCGACGCUCUGAGUGAGUACGGGUAUCAUCCUAACCUGAGCAUAGGGCACAACGAUGCUCUUAAGACUCUGCGUGAUAUCGAGCGUUACCAGUGACGGCCUCUUACUCGACAGAGAAACGGGGCCAGAGGUGGGCCAUCAUCCGUACUGAGCCCGGUUAUAGAGGUGACCGGGUGACCGUGCUAGGAUUCUGUAUCAAUCAAACGCACGCUCUUAAAACGGUAGCCAAAUUCCGGGCUUGGCAAGCGCUGGGCUGGCCCUACACACUGAAAGAUGACAGAAAAUAAAUGCUUGACAGCCUAGGCCAUUCCUGUAGAAUGGCCCUCAAGCAAGACAAACCAGCCAUCAGGAGGCUAGAAAAUGGAAGCUGUAGCUCAGUUCAAAAGUGAAGAUUACGCAAGCGGUGAUAGCCGCACCGCCACCGUUUACAAAGACGUUUACGGCGCAUACGUAGUGAGUGUUUUCGGAACUAGCCUCAGCGAGCCUAUUGCUUUCCAUUGGGGACCGUUCGAGGAUAAAGAGUCGGCGGUAGACGCAGCUAAAUCGGCCAUCUAAUCCGGAGAUUACAGAAUGAAAAUUUCCGCUAUCCUGAAAAGUAACCUCGAACUUUACGGACCGAUGACUUUCAUGUGCAAUUUGAUAGAAGAUGAUCCGACCCUAGGGGAAGAGGAGGUAAUCGAGGCUAAGCGGUUUAUCGAGCGUCUGUUAGGUAAAGCCUUUACUCUUCACACUAAGUUGAAGAGUGAACUGCGGGAAUAUGACGUUGCCUUCACUGUUAACGGCGGUU